rnacentral:lncRNA from 1 species
AAAAAACCCUAAGUUUCAAAAACUUCUUAGGGCUUUGAAACUUCUUAGGGCUACAACUUAAGGGAACACCCUUUCCUUGACCAAGGCUAUGCAUUGCUGAUCUCUUUGUGAAAUUUGAGUUUCAUCCUUAGAAAAGAAAAGUGAUGGGAGGUCGAAGAUGUUGGCUUAAAUGGGCCAGCAUCCUGCCCUGUGGCGGGAAGCCAUGUGGGCCGAGUCAUGUUCGAAAUGGCGUGAGGCUGGAUUGGGCCCAGUCAUAUUCGAAGUGGCAUGAGGCCAAGUGGGCCGAGUCACAAUCGAGACCCGUGGGCGCUGUUUCUGUAUGCUUUAAGUGAAUUGGUUGCAUAUUUCUAACAGCUCGAGCUUUUGGGAUUAAUGGUUAGCGCCAACGAUUCGACAAGUGGUAUCAGAGCCAGAGGUCACGGGUUCGAUUCCUGCAUGCUGCAAAUAUGUGCAGGUGCUGGAGGGGGGAUUGUUGGCUUAAAUGGGCCAGCAUCCUGCUCUGUGGUGGGAGGCCAUGUGGGCCGAGUCAUGUUCGAAAUGGCGUGAGGCUGGGUUGGGCCGAGUCAUGUUCGAAGUGGCGUGAGGCCAGGUGGGCCGAGUCACAAUCGAGACCCGUGGGCGCUGUUUCUGUAUGCUUUAAGUGAAUUGGUUGCAUAUUUCUAACAGCUCGAGCUUUUGGGAUUAAUGGUUAGCGCCAACGAUCCGACAGAAGACAGUGGAGAGUUCUCCAUCUCCAUCAGUACAUGCACGACGGGGAUUAUAAGGGCCGUUCACUAUAAGUGUAUUUAACACUCAUUAACGUCUGUAUUCUAAACUUUUUAUUAGGCCCAUGACGUGAAGUUGAAUUAAAUGGGAGAAAAUUAAUAAUGUUAGGAGUUUGGCGUAACUCGAGCUUUAGAUCUCUUGCUCUGAUACCAUGUUAAACAAUACGAAACAACCAUUGUAUACAAUGGUUGUUUCGUAUUAUUUAACAAAACGUCGUUCUCUAUUUCUCUUUAAAAUGAUCGGAGGCAGGUGUUGUUGAAACUCUAUUUUUGAUUGUGAAGGAGGUAUAUUAUAAGUGAAUGGACGAAAAUUGCACUCUCUUGGUUUGAAAUUCUAUUUUUGAUUUGUAAGAAGACAUUGGUAUAUGGUGGUAACAUUACUACGAAAGGAAGAGAUUUGUAUUUGUACGUGGUUGUAUUAGUACUAGCGCAAACCACUUUUAUGGUAUAUUCGAAUUUUGAGUCCGUAUCAGAUAGUAUAUACGUAGUUGGGCCAAAUUUGGUAUCGAUAUAUGGUUAUACCAGUAAUGACUUUUACGACGUGUUGAGUUCCAAAAUAUGAAUGUGACGCAGGCCUAAGCCGCGUUGAGAGGGAAUAAGUGCACACACGAAGGAUAAGAUAGGGAUGCACGAAGAACCAAUUAUUCGAUAAAGACGAAAAUAUGAUUAAUCAACUCUAAAAACUAAUAAUUACUGUAAAAUGUGACUCGAAAUUGAUAAUCGACUCGAGUUCGGGUUUUCGACUCGCCGACAGCUUCGCGGUGCGACCAAAUUGGAAAAAUAAAAUUGUGAAGGAAAAAUGAAUGUCUGUGGUGGGUAGCGGAGGGCUUGCAGCCCCAGCCUGUUAAGAGUUUUCCUCUUCGUUUUUGCCCUAGAGGCGUGACGUGGUUGGUUGUAAUCUCUAAACGUUGUAUUCCCUUUUUCGUUUGAUAGUGAAGUUCUCUCAUAAACCCUCGCUUGUGGUUUUUCUUUACAAAGGGUUUUUCACGUAAAUUUGUGUGUUCUCUUUAUUUUCUGUUUAUGGUUUGAUUGUUUCGUGUUCGCCAUUUUGUUUCCAUUUGUGUGUUCGUCGUAACAAUUACAUUAAUCGAACGCCAUGUAAAUUGAGAGUAAUAAAGUCUAAUAUAUUUCUAAACCUAAACCAAUCAGGAAUAGCUAAAUAAUCAGACUCUAAAUAGAAAAAAUAUAAACUUUUUGAAAAUAAUCUAAAAAUACAAAAAUGGAAGCCUAAACAGGUGAAUUUGGGUCACAAAUUCCGCUAGGACAGCUUAAUUUGCAGUUUAAUGCUUAGAUCUGGAAAAGUGUUUUUCCAAUUGAGGUUGCACGCUGAAAAUGGACACUCGAGCGAAAAGUUAUAGCCGUUUAAAGAUUUUUCGCAAAAUUGCUGAACUCAACGGGAUUUCCGUUUGAUUAAUUUGGUGAACUAGGCUGGAAUACUAUCAAUAGCACCAAGCUAUUGGUGCUAUUGAUUUUUUAGCCCUUGGAUUGAGAAAUGGAUGGUUAGGAUGAUGUGGACCCCCUAGGAUUGAGUGAGUGGUUGGUUAAAUAGUAUAAUCUAACGGGUAAAAAUAAUCAGAGGGUUAAAUCCAACGGUGGAAAAUUCGAUAGCACCAAAUCCUUGGUGCUUUCGAUAGUACCCCGGUCGGACUCUUGAUUUGGUUGCAUCAUGCUACUCCAGAAACCCUAACACUAAAUUGGCUGCAUCAGAAUGUGAUUUCAAAUUUGUCUAAAUUAAACUCCAAGCAUCUUCAAACUUAAUCUAAUGUCUUUUUAUUAGUAUUUCACAUAGGAUUCACACUUAUUUCAUCAUUUCUUGAUAUGGAGUACCAUAGAUGGGAACCUAGGCAUACACCAACAUGUAUCACAAUUCACAAUAUUUGAUUCUAGUAUGUUGGAUCUCAUCCCCAAGAUCAUGAUGGUAGUAGGAUGAAAAAAAAGGCGCCAAAUCUCAAGAGGACGAAGUUUUAUAGUCCAAUGCGUGCACUUUGAACAAUUUGUGUUGCUAGACCCUUCAACAAUGGCAUUAAGAGUGGUAGACGUGCCUCGAAACUUGGUUAUCGAGUUCGAUUUUGUGUUGAUCCCUGGUUCGCCAACAGCUUUGCGAUGCGACAAAUUUUGGAAAACGAUUUGUGAAGGAAAAAAGAGAUGUCGGCCUCAAUAAUCUCUGAGGGUGCGUUGGAGUUGACGAUCUUUGAAAGAAGAAUAUAUUAUGGUAUUUUCUUCAAAUAAGUACCUAGCUAGUUCUCUUCACACCUAUGAGGCUUUUAGUUGAUGCCAUGACAACCUAAGCACCAUUUCAUGCUACGGAUGGCAAUUCAGCUCGCUGUUCGUGAGCUAGCUCGUGUUCGGCAUAAAAUGAGUUGGAGAUUGAAUUGCUCGUUUAGUAAACGAGCCGAAUACAAAUUAAAUUUUUUAGCUUGUUUAAUAGACAACACUAGUUGGAGUUAACUCACUCGUGUUCAGCUCGAUACCUGCUCGAAUACAUAUAUUUCAUAUUUAUAUAUAUAAAUAAAUAAUUAUAUAUAUAAAAUAUAGAUUUUUUUUUUAAUUUUUAGCCCAACUUAAAUAUAAAGCCCAACUCAAUUAUAAAAAUACCUAUUUAUAUGUAAAGUUUUAACUAUUAGAUCAAAAUCUAAUAGAUAAGAUCACAUAAAUUUAUUUCCUACAUAUAUAUUUCUAAUCCUUUUAACUUAUUGUUCGUGAGCCGACUUGUAAAACGAGUUGAAUUUUUUGGCUCGAUAUUUCAACGAGCCAGCUCAUGUUCAGCUCAUUUAUGGAUAAAUUGUCACGCCCCAAACCCAAGGCAUGACAGACGCCGCAUACCUGCUAAACUAGCAAUUAUGCAAGGCUACAGAAUCAGACGGAAGCUAGCAAAAAGAUGAUUACCAAAUUUUCCACUAAAUCCAAAGAAUCAUAGGAUGAGACUAAGAAAUUGAAUUUUAACUAAAAUCAAAUGAAAUUCUAACAUCUAUAGAACUAAAGCUUACUACGAAUCACAAGAGAGGUUCGGAAAUACUAUAAGUGACAAAAGUGGGUACGAAGAUAUAACGAAACAAAAUAGAUAACAAACGAUCAUAGAUAAUUCGAAAAUACUAGAUGUAAAAACAAAAGGGACUAAAAUCAAAACUUGCUACGUCUAACGUUCACUUAGUCUCAGCCCCGCCCGGCAAAUCAGUCUCGGUACCUGGGUAAGCAACCAUACACCAUAUUAGUCGGAUUAAGCAUACAAUGCAAAUAAGUAAAUGAAUACAAAAAUUAAUUCAAGCGACUGGUCUUUAAUUUGCAAAAUUUAGAAAAAAAGAAUUUAUCAAACUUAAAAUUCAAAUCAAAUUGGAACUAUAACUUUACAAAGCAUUUUUCUUUAAGCAAAUAACGAAAUAAAUAUUAAGUCUCCAGCAACUAACUAUAUCAUAUGAUCCGUUGGCGAGAUCCAGAGGCACCCGAAGGUGCAAACAAAGCAGAAGCACCCGAAGGUGCAAACAGAACAGAGGCACCCGAAAGUGCAUGUACAAAACAGAGGCACCCGAAGGCGCAAACAAAACAGAGGCGCGGAUAGGCGCAGGCACCCGAAGGCGCAAACAAAGACGAAGCUUGCUUCUAUAACAAAGUACAUGUCGACAUGGCCAACAUUAGCAUAGCAGAAUACCAAGAGACAUUUUAAUUCAAAAUUAUCCAGUCACUAACUUACAGAACAUAUUAUCAAGUUUCAAAAAUUCAUUUUGCUAAAAGAACUUGUCAAUCACAGUUGAAGCUCAAUUUACAGAAAUAUUUAAUAAUAUGCUUAACACUUAGUUUUAAAAUCUACAAAAUAAGAUUUUCAUACAAUCGAAAUAUUUUCCUAAAUUAUCUUACGAAAAACUAACGGGUGUCCGGUCGCUUACCUUAACGCAGCUUCAAAGAUAGAAAAUUAUCCAGUCGAAACUGUGCAGAAAAUCAAUCGUCGGAACCUAAAAUAGAAACAUGCGAUUCUCUAUAAGUUAACUAAAAUGAACAUGCAAAGGGGAUAUAAAGGUAUGCAAAUAGGUCGGGAUGGAGCACAAAGGGAUUUAGAAUAUUAAAAUUCGACGAAAUUCAAUUAGCAAUCAAGAGGAUGAUGAGUUUUAAGGAUUAAAAUAUUCAAAGAAGCAAGAUAAGAUGAAUGAGGUUUUAAAAUAAUAAAGGAAGGAUCUAAUACUCGAAAAGAGGGUUUUCAGAUGUUGAAAUAUUAAUAGGCAAAUUACAAUUAGAUGAGAUCAAAAUUAGAAACAAAACGAAAUUCGCCCUCUCAUAGGCGUUUCGUCGAACAUAUAACGAGCAUUCUAAAAGUAUGUAGAAUAUGCAAAGUCAACAAAACCAAAUCAUAUGCAGAACACAAGGCAUAAGGUUAACGAUUUGAACAACAUUAAUUUAGACCAUUCGAAAUCAGAUUUGAAUGAUCCUAGAAGUAAUCAUCAAAGAAGAAUACCUAACAACAAUCACCUAAUUAUCGAUAAAUUUAGAUGCUUUCAAGAAUAGGUGUAGAGAUGAAAGUGAAAGGAAUGAACCUUCUUAAAGAUAGAAACGACGACGAUAAAAUGUCGUCAACGACGAAUCAAAAAAAAUGCCGACGGAUGAGGAUUGCGGCGGCGGCCGCGGACUACGGCGACGAUGACGGUGAUCAACGGCGUCGUGCACGCAUGUGGGAGGGUGGAGCCGUACGGGUGCAAUGAGGGAGGAAUUAAGGAGGGUUGCGGCUAGGUUAAACGGAUGGUGGAGAUAAUUAGGAAUUAGUGAUUAGUUGGCACAAAAUGCCGCCGAGUUCCUCAAAAACUAAUAUUUACGAAAAGGUCCGAAUUUUAAAAGAAUAGGAGUUAAAACAAGAAGUUAAGAGUGUAGGGUGUUACAUAAAUACUCGUCCCUUUAUAGAAUCCACCACGUUGAGCAUGAGCAAACUCGCCACAAUGAGGAAUCCACCAACGCGAUGGCCGAGCCACACUUUUCUAGGCAACUACCAAGGGGUAGGAGUAAGAAUAAGUGAAAAGAACUCCUCAAGAGAAACUAGAAAACAUAGUAAUCUGGAUACUUUUCAAUUCAUUCAAAAUAAUACACAUAUAGAGUUUUCAAACUACUAUCUCAAAAACCUUCAAGAUAAUGCACACAAUAUAUAAUUUCUCGAAUUGUGUGGAUUGCGAAAAAGUUCAGAUGCGCAUUUGCAAAUAGCCCAUAGUUCUGAUAGGUUCUGUUACGUAUUUUUAGUAAGUUGAUUAUGUGCCUAAUUUGGUUUAUUGUGCUCAUUAAAAUGUUUUUCGUAUUUUCCAAUGUUGAUAUGCUCAUAUACCUAGCCUUGCUAAGCAACUUUUUCCGAUGUUAUUUCUUUUCCUCUUAACUGAAACUUCUUCUUCAUUUUGCUAAAAAAAAAAAAAAAAAAAAAUCGCAGUAUGCAGAAAACAAUCGACCGUUAUACAUCGCAUACAAAAGAAGUCAUCGGAAGCAAGGAAGCAGCACAGCAGAGUUUAGAGGUGAGAAAUUUUACUCUUCGCCGAACUACAUCACUUUUUAUCGUUUUGUUUAGCGCCCGUUAAGCAGUGUUUCAACAUAGAUGCUAUAUCUUUCGGAAACCCUACUUUUCAUUGCAGUAGUUCGUUGUAAAACUCCAUCUAUUUGAUGCAUAUGUGAAAUUUAAACACUUUUUGAGUAUUGCCCAAAAGACUAAACCGAUGUGAAGCAGUUCAGAAAUAGUCUUAAUAUCCUCAGUCGCAUAUAUGAUGAAUAUGAAAGGCACGUCGAAUUGACAAAUGAGGCAAGAGAUAAGGAUUUAAUCCACUGGAAUAUAAUAUCGAGAUUUAACCCCUUCAAUGUGCAUAGUGGGGAUUUAAACCCAAAGCGUCAUAGAAUGAAGGUGUUUAGAAUUUGUUCUGAUACUAUAUUACUGCAAAACAUCAAAAUCAUGCGAAACGUACAUAUGCCUCAUCGUGAAAGGCAUGUCAAAUUGACAAAUGAGGCAAGAGAUAAGGAUUUAAUCCACUGGAAUAUAAUAUCGAGGUGUAACCCUUUCAAUGUGCACAGUGGGGAUUUAAACCCAAAGCGUCACAGAAUGAAGGUGUUCAGAAUUUGUUCUGAUACUAUGUUACUGCAGAACAUUGAAAUCAUAUGAAACGUAUAUAUGUAUCACAAUGAUAACGGUUUAAUCCACUGGAAUAUAAUAUCAAAAUGUAAUCCCUUCAAUGUGCAUGGUAGGGAUUUAAACCCAUAGCGUCGCAGAAUGGAGGUGUUCAGAAUAUGUUCUGAUACUAUGUUACAGCAAAAUGUCGAAAUCAAAUGAAACAUACAUAUGCAUCAUCAUUUUUUUUUAAUCCUGCCCCUGUUGAACCAAAAUUAUUCUCCAUUGGAGAUGAUCUCUCUGAAACAAUACUGCUUAAGUUGCAGCAAUGGAGAUCUGAAGCAGCCACAUUAGCGAAGAAGAUUGAGCUUCAUGAAACUGAGAAAAGGUAUUAGAAGCUACAUUACCUGAUAAUCCUCCCCGAGAAGAAUAAGAGAAUAUAUAUAUAUAUAUAUAGAGAGAGAGGCUGAUAUGUUUCUGGAAGUACGGAGUCCUCUAUGCUUUCAAAUCGUUUUCAAUAUUGAGACUUUUGAAUCGACGAUCAGUUCCGUUAGAUUUGAUUAGAGUAUUUGAAGUAUCUAGAAAAUAAAUUUUAUAAUUUUUUAAUAUUAUUUGCCUAGUGAUUGAAGAGACUCAAAAUCAAUACUUUUAAUGGCCGUGGUGAGCCGCUUGCAAGUUUAACGGUGCUGCUUGCAAGUUUAACGGUGUAGAAAUAUCCAAAUCAUUUGAAAUUUUGCUAGAAGUUUUUUUAUACUAUAUAAAAGAAAAUCAAUAUCUUUGAUCUAAAAUUUUUAUGUCAUAUAAUUACAUUUUGUAAAAUUUUUAUUUUCAGCCGUUGAUUUUAAGCUCCUUCGAUUAUUAGACAAAUGAUAUUGAAAAAUUGCAAAAUUUAUUUUCUAGGUAUUUCAAAUAAUCUAGAUCGUGUCUAACGGAGUCGAUCGUCGAUUUGAAAGUUCCAACAUCGAAAACGACUUGGAAGUACGGAAAGUUCCGUGCUUCCAGAAGCAUACCGGCCUCUUUCUCUCUCUCUCUAUAUAUAUAUAGAGAGAGAGAGAGAGAGAGAGAGCAAGGCUUCUAUACUUUUGAAAGUACGGAGGCUUGUAAGUUGUUUUCGAUGAUAGGACUUCCAAUUCGGCGAUUGAUUUUGUUAGACAUGAUCUACGUUAUUGGAACUAUCUAAAAUAAUUUUUUGAUUUCAUUUGUCUAGUAAAUGAGUAGUCUCAAAAUAAACUGCUGCAAAUAAAAAUCUCAUAAAAAAUAGUGAUAAAAGACUCAAAUUUCAAAUCAAAAGUAUUGAUCUUGCUAUUGAUGUUAAGUAGAAUUUUCUAUUAAAGUUUCAUAUAAUUUGGAUUGUUCUACGCCGUUGAACUUAAAAACGCGCCACAUCGACCGUUAAAAUAGUCAUUUUUUAGACCUUUUAAUCACUUAGUAAAUGAUGUCGAAAAAUUAUAAAUUUUGGUUUCUAAAUAGUUCCAAUAGCGUAGAUUAUGCCUAACUAACAGAGCUGAUCGUCGAAUUGGAUGUCCUAUCAGCGAAAACAACUUAUAAGGAUUGAGGCCUCUGUACUUUCGAAAGCAUAUAUCUACUAAUUAUGUAGAAAUUUAUAAAAAUUUUGGGAGUUUGCUGCAGGAAACUCUGCGGCGGCGGCGUAGAAUCAUGUUCUCUGGAGGAGCUGCAUGAUCUUGAGGCCCAACUAGAGAGAAGUCUCAGUAAAAUUAGAUCGAAGAAGGUAAUUAAUAAAUUUCAUCACCAUUUGUUGAUUCUUUUCUUUUUUAUUUUAAACCAAGGAAAAAAGUUAUUAAUAGGAUCAAAAUAACUUAAAUUUUCUGCAACAUAUGCAGCAAAGAAAGAUUUUGCAGGAAAUCACAGAGCUAAAGGAAAAGGUUAGUUAGUUAAUGCAUGUUGCUGUUAUGCUAAAAGAACACAAAUUAUUCACUAAUGAUGUUUACUGUGGCAUGUCUCUGUGCCAAUGUUCUUUUUUUUUUUUCACAUGAAAUACAGGAGAGUUUGCUCUUAAAGGAGAAUGCGUUGCUCCGCGAAAAGGUAAUUUUAUAAGAGUUAUCGUUUAUCUAGAUAAUCCUUCUGGCUCCGAGCACUGCUCGAGUUGGUGCAUGUUUGUUCUUGUGAUUCCCCAAUAGUUCCAUAUUAUUGGAUGAGAAAGAAGUUUUGAUUGAGAUUAUAUGAGGUCUCGCACCCUAGUAAUAAUAACCAAGGUUACGCAUUUUGGUCCAUUGGUUUAGCCCUAAUGAGUUAUUAUUACCAGCGGGUCAGGUUGUUAUAAUUGAUACCAUAGCUGAAUACCAACCAGAAGUGUGUACGUAUAGAGCCAUCACAUCGUCUGAUAAUUCUGGCGCCCGAGAAUCUCAUAUCGUCUAGUAAUUUUGGUCUGUAUGUUAUUCAGUUUGGACCUGACGAGGAUCGAUUUGGACAUGACAAGAAUGUCAAAGUCUAAACAAGGUAAGUCUGUAAUGCUCCAAUAGUUGAUCCUCGUCAUUCCAAUAGUCGACCUGACGAGGAUCGAUUUGGACAUGACAAGGACGUCAAAGUCUAAACAAGGUAAGUCCGUAAUGCUCCAAUAGUCCCACAUCGGAUUGGAAAAAAGGAUUCUGAUUGGGAUUAUAUGAGGCUUCGCACCGUAGUAGUAAGUAAUAAUUAGAUUUAAGUAUUUUGGGCCGAUGGUUUAGGUCCAACGAAUUAUUAUUACUAGUAGGUCGGGUCAUUACAGGUCAUUACAGGUCUUAGCUAAAACUACAGCUAUCGUAUCGUGAUAGAAGCAAAAGUUUCAACUUAGAGUUUCUGGAGGGUGAGCUUUUUGUCCUUCGAAUGGGUCAACUGUGUUUAUAUCUAACUUGCAGGUGCGAACUCAACUGCUACCAUCUGUUCCUGAUCAGCAUCUCAUUCCAGAUGAUCAACCGAACGGAAACAUGGAAGUAGAGACAGAUCUUAUAAUCGGAAGACCGGGAACCGGCGAGGCGCAGCAACAGUUGGCGAAUUCGAGCGAAACUUCGCAUUAAGUAUAUAUAUAUAUUUGCUAUCUGUGAACAAAUGCGCGCUUUUGACACAAGCAUUUGUACUGUUCGUCCGGUUGAAAGCAAAGAAAAGAAAAGAAAAAAGAGCUGUAUUUUUUUUCCAAAAAAAAUUUUCUAUCAAGUUAUUUAUCAUUGCUCGAGCGAAAUUUGUUUAAUGUACCAUAUACUUUAAUUAUGAGGUAAAGAUAAGGUUUCGUGUUUAGUUCUUAUCUCAUUUGAUCAAAGAAAACACCAAUUUUUUAUUUUUUUUCUAUUGAGUAUAAAUUAUUAUUAAAAGAUCGUUUUCUGACGACUUAAGCUUUUACAAAUAGAUUGGUAUUAGUUGUCAGAUUCGUUUCCCCCAUAAUCCCCAAAACUAUAAGAAAUAAUUAUUGGGAAAUAUUAACACUUUGGUUGGAUGGAGAGGGUGUAAGAAACAAAAAGAGAAAGAAAUAAAAAAAAAUUGUCUUAUUUUUUCUAUAUAAUGGGAAAAGGACUACAAAUAAGCUUUUGGUUGUUCUAUUAUAUUUUUGGCUAAAUUAUGAAAAAUUUUUCUGUAAAUAUUUAUUUUUUUAAUUUUUUUUUCUGACUUUUAAAAAUUUAUAUUUUGUCUCCUUAAAGUUUUAAAAAUAUCUUUAGGAGGAUACAGCUUAAUGGAGAGGGCAAAAUGACUAAAUUGUCAUGUCACUUCUUCCAUAAGAAAAAUAUUUUUUUAAUAUAUUAAACUAGUUCCAAAAUUUCAUUGAGUUUGGCCAUUUUUAAAUGAUCAUAACUUUUUGCUCGAAUGUUUGUUUUAGCGUGUAACCUCAAUUCGGAAUAUAUUUUUUAAGAUUUACGCAUCAAAUUGUAAAGUCAUUAGAGCAAAGUUUGGAACCCAAAUUCAACAUUAUAGUUGUAUUUUAGGUUAUUUUUGAAAUGUUUUAUAUUUUUCUAUUAUAAGUAUGGUUAUUUGGGUAUUUUUGAUAGGUUUAGACUUAGAGAUAUUUUAGAAUUUGACUUAUAGUAGGAUUCGAAUAUUACCUAUAUAUAUUCAUGGCGUUUGAUUAAUGUAAUUAGUUUUUUUUAGAGUUUAUUAAUAAUAUUUUUAUUUUUGUCAAAAAUUUGUGUUCUUUGUGCAUUUCUCUUUCCGUCCUUGUACUUCUUUCUAAAUGCCGCUUAAGCCUGCGUUAGAGAGAGAGAGAGAGAGAGAGAGAGAGAGAGAGAGAGAAAGGAAAGAGAGUGGUAAUUACAAAACCAUCCAAAACAAUUUACCUAAUUAACAAAUAUCAAAGUAUUAAUCAAACAAAAUUUAAUAAGUAAUUAACUAUUUGGCUCAUUAUUGGAAUAGAAAUCAAAAUAAAAAUUUAAAAUUUUUGAGAGAGGAUUUUAGUUUUUUUUUUUUUUUUUUUUUUNGAGAGAGGAUUUUAGUUAAGAGAGGGGAAAGUGAUGAAAAGAAAGGAAAUAGGUAUUGGUGAAAGAGGAUUUUGAUUAGUUUAUUUUGGAAUAGGCCAAUCCGAAAUUCAAAAUCGAAUUGGGCUACAAAUGGAUUUGGCCAUUUCCAUUCCUGAGUGAAAUGAGAACCGUAAUUCGAUUUCUGUAAAAUAAACGACAAUUAUCAAAAUCAAUGAAUUUCAUUUUAAUUUCAUAGUCUAAAAUAAGUGAACCAAAUAUGCACUAAAUAUAUUCAUACACUUUACUAUCCUUUACCUUAUUAAAUCAAGAGUUAUAUAUUCAUUUCUUUGAGUAAAAUGAAGUUAAUUCUCCCCCCUACUCUAUUGGCCAUAAAAGGGCUCUACACAAAGGGCAUGUUGCAUGACCAAUCUCCACCCACUUAUCAAUACAACCCUUGUGAAAUGCAUGAGAGCAAUUCCCCAACUCCCUCACUUCAUGUUCAAGCUCCAAGUCCCCCAAGCACACUGCACAAACAAUGCUCUCCUCUCCUUUCGCCGAUCUCUGCGCGAAGCUCGCGAACGCGACGACGCGAAGUCGCGCUUCGAUCGCCGAGGGCGCGGUCGGGGAAGGCGACGUAGGGUGGGUGUGCUCUUCGAAGGGCGCAGCGGCGAGGCCGAGGUAGGAGAGGGAGAGAAGGAUGGAGAGUCUUAUAUAGUCAAGUAGUUGGAUGGUGAGGGUGAGAGGUUUUGGGAGGAUAACACAGUAGCACACUGAGGGGAACCCCAUGGUGGUAAUAAAUUGUGAUGAUGAUGGUGGAGAAGAAGAAGAAGAAGAAGAGGAAGAAGAAGAGUAUGUGGAAAUUGAGAUGUGUUUAUAGCUAGAGGUUGUUCAUAUAUAUAUAUAUAUAUAUAUAUAGAGAGAGAGAGAGAGAGAGAGAGAGAGAGAGAGAGAGUCCAGCUGGGAUACUAUUGAUAGCAUCAAGGGCUUGGUGCUAUUAAGUUUUCUAUCGUUAGAUUUAACCCCUUGAUUAUUUUUACCGGUUAGAUUAUACUAUUCAACCAACCACCUACUCAACCCUAGGGUGCCCACAUUAUUCUAACCGCACAUUUCUUAAUCCAAGAGCUAAAAAACUAAUAGCACCAAGCUAUUGGUGCUAUUGAUAGUAUUUCAGUCUAUUUCUAUAUAUAUAUAUAUAUAUAUAUAUAUAUAUAUAUAUAUAUAUGAAUGAUGAAAUUACUGCUCAAGCUUCUGCACUUAGGAUUUGAACAGAAACAUGAAGUGGAGACAUCAGGAUACGUGAAACUUCCCUGCGAGUAACAUUCGCAGGGAGACCUUCAACAAACAGAGUAUUUGAGGCAUCAGGAGGAAGAGGAGGCUCUGGCCUAACACCAGCAUAUCCAAGGGUCCUGCUAUCCACACCUCCAGCAACUGCAAUACGCCGAUCAUCAGCUGGGUAACCAGGCAUUGCUCCGAGCACAGGUCUAACAGGUUCAGUGGGACCAAAGGAAGACAUCUACAAAAUAAUUUCCAUGUUGAAGCCACGUGUUACUGAAGNAUAUAUAUAUAUAUAUGUGUGUGUGUGUGUGUGUGUGUGUGUGUGUGUGUGUGUGUGUGUCCAGUUUAUAGGAAGGUGGUUGUGAGGUUGAGCAACCCAUGUGCUAAUUACAUAGUGAUCAUUUAAUUGUAUAUGAAAUUAUAUGGGGUUAAUUAAGAUAUAUGGAGAUUAAUUUAUGAAGAGUUUAUUGAACUCAGAUAGAAGAAGUGAAAGUAGAGAAUUUUAGGUAUAUAUGUAUUGAGUUGGGCUGGAAUACUAUUGAUAGUAUUUGGUUCUUUUUGCUAUCGAGUUUUUAAUCUUUAGAUGAAAAAUUAUAAGGUUAGAAUGAUAUUAGUCCUUUAGGGUCGAGUGGUCCUCCUAGGGUUGAGUGGUCCCUACUGGGUUGUAAUAUUUAAUUCGAUGAUUAGAAAUGAUCAAAGGAAUUGAUUCAAAAACUAAAAACUUAAUAGCAAAAUGGGGCAAAUACUAUAUAUUAAUAGUAUUCUAGCCCAACUCUAUAUAUGUAUUAUAGAGAGAGAGAGAGAGAGAGAGAGAAAGAGAGAGAAAGAAAGGUAGCAUUUAUCUAUUUUAUUAAUUAUUUUUACAAAUAAACUUAGUUGAAAAUAUAAAAAAAAAUAGGCUUCAAACCUAGAAUCUUGAGUACUAACCAUUAAAUUUUUCAGAUGACUCGAAUUCUAAAACAACAAGGUUUUCUAAUUCUAUUCUGUUUUGGUUAUCCCAUUAAAUUAUGAGCGUGUUUGGUUCGAAGUUGGAAUCGGAAUCAAAAUCGGAAUCGAAAUAAGCUGGAAUCGGAAUCAGAAUGACUCAUUACCUAAUUAUGUUUGGUUUAUCACCUGAAUCAGAAUCGGACUAAAUCAUUCCCAUUGUCGGUGUUUGGUUCAAGUAAAUAUAAAAAACGUAAUCAGAUUAAUAUAUUAACUUUAUCUUUAUAAUAUAUUAAUUUAAAUUCAAAUUAAAAAUUAAAUAUUAAAAUUUUACAUCAAAAUUUUGGAAUGAUGUCAAAAUUUUAAAUCCAUUUUUUUUAAAAAAUUAAACUUUGAAGUUGAGUGGAUAAUUCGAAAUAUAAAACUAAAUUUCGAUUUAUUCAAAUUCAAACUUAAAAUUACAAUUUAAAUUUUAAUUUGAAUCCAUAAAUUUAAUUUAAAGUUUUAAAUAAAAUUUGAAUAAAACUUUAUAUAAAUUAAAAUUUAAUUUAAAUUCAAAUUCAUAAGUUAGAUUUGAAAUAUUUGAUUAAAUUUUAAUUUUUUAAUUCAAGUUCAAAUUAAAAAUUAAAAUUUAAAAUUUAAUUUCUAAAUUUUAAACUCAUAUUUUAAUUAGAAAAGUUGAAAAAAUAAAUUUAAUCCGAAUAAAUAUUCAUUACGUCCGGAUUCAACUUCCAAUCCGGCCUCCUAGGCCGGAUUGAAAAAAUGGGUGAUUGGGGGAUUUCCAUUCCACUCGGGAAUCAGAAUCGGAAAGGGACUCCCGCGUACCAAACACCCACAAACCGAUUCACCAAUUCUGAUUCCGAUUGCAGGGUGAAAAAAAAGCGAACCAAACACGCCCUAUAUUUAGAUUAUAAAUAAUCUUAUUGAGGUUAUUCUUAAUCUUAGUAGAUUUGUAUUUCUAGUUGUAUUAGGAUUUAACCACUAUUAUAAAUUAAUACAUUUUUUUGGGAUUAGGAUUUUGUAAGAGAGAUGUAUUUUGUACACCAUUUUGAUUAUAAUAAAGAUCUUCAAUACGUUUUCACUCGUGGAUAUAGGCCGGUGACUGAACCAUAUAAAUAUUUAUGUGUUUUAUUUUUCUCUCUUUUUUGAUAUUUUUGGGUACUUCUGCGCCGGAUGAACUAGAUUUUUUUUUUUUUUUUUACCUUUUGUUGUAACAAACUGGUAUCAGAAAAAAUCAGGUACCCGUAUAAGCCGCGAAUUUCUAACAAAAUCCUUUAUAACUUGCGCUAAUGGCGAUUGGCGAUAAGGAUAGUUAAUUAUUAGAUACCCCUUUUGUUAAAAGGAAUUAACAAAGUUAAGGUCCAACAUAUUACAAUUUAAUAGGUGGUGUUUCAAUUUCCAUAAAGAAAAAUUCAACUAUCGAUAUAUGGUACUAUAUAUAUAUGACACAUCUUAGUAAAUAAGUACUUAAAGAAAAAAAAAGAAAUAUAACUAUUAUGGGAAAUAAACUUCAGAAAUUAAGCUGUUGAAAUUAGAAGUAUAUAUAACAGUGAAACUGAAAUUUUAAUUCAAAUUUCAUGGACCAAAUUUGUUAUCACAUAUGAACACUAAUUAAUUAGCCAUUUACUUUAUCCUCAAAUAUAUAUACAUAUAAACAAAAUAAUAUUUAAAAAUUUGCUGUGACAAAAAGAAUGAAUCAAAUCAUAGAAAUUAAAGCUGAAUUAAUGAUGAGCCGCAGCUCAAUUAUUUUGUCGUUGUAAUGGCUGUCAUCACUCUCAAGCAACAUAUAUAUACAAUUGCCAAUACAAAUAAUGGAACUGCUUUGUUUUUUUUAUAUUAUUAUUCAAAGUAUAAUAAUUUAUUUAGAGUAACAUAUAAAUAAAUUCCCAAGUUAAAUUAUUAGCUAUGAUGUUAACUUAAUGCUUCUUGCAAGGCUUCGCAAGCGAAAGAAGCCCGCACGUGAGAUUCACCGAUCGUAUGUAGUGCAGUUGGCUGAUGACUUAAUGGUUGGUAUAUGAGGUUAAUACGUUCGUAGUCUUGUUGGUUUAUAUUUCUAGCUGAUUUUAAUUCUUAAAAAAGAAGAACGAAAUGGAUAGCUUUGCAAUCACUCUCUCUCAGAAAAAUAAAAUAAAAUAAAAUGAAAGGCUAAAUUACAGAAACCCUCCUAUAAAUACAUGCUUUUUUAACUUUAACUCCUUGACUUUUGAAAAUCUAUUUAAUAUCUUGUUCCCUUAAUAUUUUAGAAAUGUUUUUACUACGGUAUGACAUUAAUGGAGUGGGCAAAACAAUCAAAUUGGCCUUACUUCUUUUAUAAAAGAAAAUAAUUUUUUUAAUAUAUUUCUGUCAUUUUGAAGGACAAUUUCGGUAUAAAUUAUAAAAAAAUAGACUGAAUAGUGAUGGAACUUUGACGGAAGGGGGACUAAAUGUAAAAAUAUAAAAUAUUGAGGGGGUAAAAUGUAAAUUUUCUGUAAUUUAGUCAAAGAAACACUAGAAUUAGUAUACGCUUUUGUCAAAUAAAAGUUCUUAUGCUUAUUAUAUUUCAAUCAAAGCUGAAAUAAAUUUUUCAGGCUAAAAAAAAGAAAAAGUUUAUAAAUUUUCUACUUACCUAAAAAUCAAAGUUCCGUUGACUUUUUAAUGAAAAAAAAUUAUUAAUAUUUUUUAAAAUAGCUCUAUUAAUUCAAACACAAUUUUGCUAAAAGCUUAUUUUCGCGUGCCCUACGACCAUUUCUAAGACUUAGUUUGGUAUUGAGAUCUAUCUAACACUAUUAGAUAGAAUGGAGUUAAGAAAAAAAAUAUAGGGAUAUGCUUCUGUCUUCUCCAAUGGGACCGCAAAAAAUGUAUCGUAACCGACUAAUCGCAAUAUACGGAACCCAAUAUUACGUACGAAAAUAAACAUGAUAUUUUCUAUUGUCGUUUCUCACUGCACGUAAUGUAAUCUCCCUGCAAUUCCAAACAAAGCCUAACUACUUAUUCCUCUUAAUGUGUUCUAAUUUUUUUUUUUAUUUUAUAUUUCUUGUUAUUUUUAUUAGAACUAAACCUAGCAAGUGACAACCUCUAGGGGUGUUUGAUUUGUUGAGCAAGCUUUGAAAUAGCAUGAGAAAAAAAUAUUUUCUAUGAAAAAUAACUUUUACUAUAGUUUUAUUUUUUCGGAGAAAAAAAUUUAGAAAACAAAAGUACGAAAUUUGGAGAAUUUUUUUUAAAACAAACUAUUUCUUUCUGGGAACCAAAUGGACGGAAAAUACUUUUUCAUCUGAAAAACUAUUUUUUGAAAUUUUUUUUUUUUGGAAAACCAAAUACUUUGUUUUUUGGCACAAUUGCUUAUAUAUUUAUGAAAAGUUUCCAACUUUCUGAAUUUACCCCUCUUAUAAGGCUAACAUUGAAAAUACUUUUUUUGCGUUCCAGCCUAUUUCAAAUAUACUCCUAAAGUUAAAAUCUGUUAAUGAACUCUGUUAUCUCUAUGAAAUUGCUAUUUUGCCCUUUCAAAUAUAACUUUCUACCAGCACCGACUUUUCUUAUUUAUACUCUUAAGUUAGGGGCAAAAAAAAUAUUUUGCUUUUUAAUUUUUUCAAAUAUAUCCUUCUACCAUCAUCAACAUUUCUUAUUUGUCCUUAAGUUAAGGAUAAAAAUGGUAUUUUAAUUUUUUUUAACUAUGGUAGAUAUUUACCUCACGUUUAACCCAAGUUAACUUAAUGGGUGAUAACUGUAGGAGUAUUUUCGAAUAACAGAGAAAUAUAUGAGGAAUAUAUGAGGGAUAAAUGAAAUAUUUUCGAUGUUUUGAGCGGUAUAUAGAGGCAAUUUAUUUAUUUAUUUAUUAUUAUUAUUAUUUUUGGUAGAGAAGCUUCCUCUCUACUCCAUUAGAGUGCCCAAAAGAGAACAUGUACAAAUUAAUGACCCUUUGGCCCUAUUAUGGUGGACAUGUCUAUAAAAAAGUAUAUAAUUAAUAUUAGGGUUACAUCACAAAAUAAGGAGAGGGUGCAUGCAUUGUAUUUCCUUUAAAUUAUUAAUUAAUUAGGGUUUGGCUCAUCACACACUCUCAUGCGCUCUCUCCACUACUGCGACAAUGCUUCAUGGGAGGGCCCUCAAGGCCAUAAGCUAUAUCUUCUAGCAGAUUUUGAAUAAUGGUAAAUUGUACUUAAUUAUAGUCCCUCAAACUAAAGUCUAGCUCAUUUUAGUCCUCAAGCUUUUAGGUUUAAUAUUUGAGACUCUACCACUACAACAAAAAUAGUAUAUAGCGACACUUUUAAGUGUCGGUACAGGUCAAAGUGCUGCUAGUUAAAUUACCGAUACUUUUAAAAAAUAUUGCUAUAUGUGGCGUCGCUAGGUAUAUAGUGACACUUUUUAAGAGUGUCGGUAUAACCUAAAAAGAGUGCUACUAAUAUACCAAUACUUAUUUAAGCUUUUAGCAGCACAUAAAAGUGAUGCAAAAUAAUAUUCUAGCAACACUUUUUUUAAAAUUUCAGCGACACUUUAUAACUGUCCCAUUUUUAAAAAAAUAUCCUAUUUUUUCUUGAUGCAUCACAGUUUUUAAAAUGUAAUACCACUCCACAAUAAUUAUCAUCAAGCAUAUCUUUAAUUUUAUUCGACUUGAUUUGCAUUAACAAAGAAAGCAUAUAAAAGAAGUUUUGUAGUCAUAUAUACCAAAAUGUCUCACAGUACUAUCCAUAUAUCUUUAAAUGAGUAUUUAGUCACUAAAUCACAGUACCAACAAUUUCUAGCUUUUUAACCCUAGAGAAAGAGAAAUAAAAACAAAAACUAAUAAUAUCAUAUCAGAUCCAGUCUUAGUGAGCUCGGCAAUUAAGAUGUUGAACCUACAAAUUCAACAAUACUGAAAUUAAUAAAAGAUUAGUCAACAAUCUUUUAACAUGAAAACCAAUUAAGAUAAGUUUAAUUUUUACCUGAAGGGCAACGAGAUUAUUGAUGCAUAUUACGAGCGCUAGAUGCGUCUGAAACCUAAACGAAUUUUCUAGUGUUAGAUAAUCAUUUCAUCUUAAAAAAAACAUUAUCCAACAAUGGGCAAGACAUUUUAAAGGUGACAGAUUAUCAGACUCGAAAUGCAAUUUAAUACAUGCAUCUCCAUUUCGUAUACAAGUAGUAAUUAAGAUGGUGGCUCCCCAAUCUAUUGCACUUAAUAAUUUACCACAACUCAUGAAGCAUAUGGCACCAAUAAAAAGAGAACAACAAAAGAGCCAAAAAACUAUGACACAUUGUAUCAUUUAAUAUUGUAUCACUUUAUCAGAAACAACANNNNNNNNNNNNNNNNNNNNNNNNNAGAGAAGUGAAAGGGCAAAGUUUUCAAAAAUGCCUGCUUUGUUGUUGUUUGGUCCAUUAUUACUUUAUUUUGGUUAAAUUAGAAUUUCGAAAAAUAUAUUAAUUGGCUUUGAUUGGCAUUCUCCGCCGAAGCAAUACGGAGGAAAAGAAAAAACGAAGAUUAAUAAAAUAUUAAUAGAUUUUUGAGGCGGCCUUUACGUUGUUAUUUCUGUCACAAUAAAUAGUAAAAUUGUCGGUAAUGUUUAAACUAUACAAACAAACAAGCGAAAGAAAAAUAGUUUCAACCUGAUUUUGCCGUUCAUUCGGAAAAUCUAUCUAAAUAUAAAAUUUUAUCUUCGAAGUGAAACAAUGAGUCAAACCAAUCAUGAGGCAGGGAUGUCAAUGGGUCGGGAUACAAUUGAUUUGCAAACGUCGAAUCGAAACCAAACUGAUUUAAUAACAAAUUAAAAAAAAAAAUUUUUAAAACAUAAAAUCUCAAAAGUCUAAAUACAGGACAUUGUAAAAAUAUUUUAAUUUGUGUAGAGUAAUGAUAUUAAAAUUUAAUUGGCCGUAAGAACAAUGCAUAUAUCUUUCAAAGCCUGAUAGAGAGAUAGAGAGAGAGGAGAGUCCAGUCUACUAUAUUCUUAUGAAUACGAUCACCUCGUACUCCUUAAAGUGUUUUUCGAUGAGUAUAGCUUCAAAAUCGAGAUCAUAUCAUUUAAACAUUAUCUGAAAAUUUAAGAUUUUAAAAUUAAAUUUCAUAUUUUUCGAUAUCAUUUACCUUACGAUCAAAAUGUCACAAAAUAAUAAUUUUACGGUCGGUAUGGAAUACUGCUAUGUUUAACCGUGUUAAAAAAAUCAAAAUCGGUUGAAUUUUGAUAGAAAAUUCUAUUUACUAUCUAGAUAAAGGUCAAUAAACUACCGAUCUUAUAAUUGAAGGUUCGAUCAAUCCAUUUUAUGUCGCUUCAAUUUUGACCCUUCACUUUUAGGCCGUUGAUGGAAUUUAUUAUGAUUUCGAAAAAUUAUGAAAUUUGUUUUUAGAAGUUUUUAAAUAAAGGUAGAUAUAGUUGUAACGGAGUUAAUCGUCGAUUCAAAAACUCCAGCAUAGAAAACACUUAUGAGUACGAUGUGCUCUUAUACUCGUAAGAGUUCAUAGUAGCCUAUUCUAUUAUAUACUAUAUAGUAUAUAUUAUAUAUAGAGAAGAGAGAGAGAGAUGAGACGAGACGCAGAAAGAGAGUACGUCUUUGCCGUGCUUUCGGAAAGUCGGAGCCUUCCGUAGUUUGUAUUGUUUUCGAUUAAUAGAAACAUCGAACUUCGCGAUCGGCUUCCGUUAGCAUAAUUCUAUGCUAUUGACUAAUCUAGAAAUCAAAUUUACAAUUGUUCAGCCAUCAUACCAAGGCGAUCACAGGGUCUCAAAAAGCUAUUUUAACGGGCCGAUGUGCCACGUUGUUAAAUAUUCAACUGGGUAGCCAAGUUUCCAAAAAAUCUAUAUGAAUUUUAUAGAAAAUUUACGUUUAAAUUAAGAUUAAAAACAAUACUUCCGAUUUGAAAUGUGAUGUCUUUUAUCACUGUUUUUAUGAGAUUUUAUUUUCAGCCGUUCAGUUUUUAGGCUACUCGUAGUCCUUAGGCAAACAUAAGUCAAAAAAUUAUGAAAAAAUAUUUGGUUUUAGAUAGUUCCAAUAGCGUAGAUCAUAUUUUAACGGAGACGAUUCCCACCGAAUUGAAAGUCCCAUCAUCGAAAAACAACUUACAAGCCACGGAGCAUCCGUACUUCGUAAAGCAUAGAAGCCUAGCUCUAGUAUAUAAUAUAAUUGAUAAUAUAAUUAUAUAUUUAGAAUUAGCGCUACUUAUACUUCUAUAGUACGGAGCUCGAUAUUAUAGUUGUUUUUGAAAUUCUUAGGGUAGUUCAAAAGUUACGUCCAACUGUUUAAAUAUGAUUUAGCGGUAUAUGAAGCUUCUGUAGAAUAAAAUUUUAGUUUUUUUCGACAUCGUUCUACUAGUAAAUAAAUUAUGUCAAAUAGACCGGUGCAAAAUUGAAUUAAUCUUUAAAAUUUGAGCAAAGACUUUUAAUUCAAGAUCAUCAAUUUACCUUAAUCCUAAGAUCGUUUAAAGUAUCUAUCAAAUUGAAGAAAUUAAGAGCUCUGCUAAUACCGACCCUUAAAACUCCAAACUCGUCAUGUAUGCAUAGAAUUGACAAUUUGAAAUGGAUUAUAAAUUAUAAAGUAAAAACUAUGUCGAAAGAAAUAUAAAUUUAUUUCUAAUAAACUUUAAAUACCUAGUAGAUCAGUUUUACGUGUAUGAAUCGUUGUUUUGAACACCCUAAGAUCGAAAACUGAAGACAUAUCAGUAUACCGAAGGCUCACGGGUAGUAUAGAUAGUUAUAGGAGACUGGCUAUGAUAUAUAUAGUGAGAGAGGAGAGACGAGAGUAGAUGAGGCAGAGAGAGAGAGUAGGGCUGGUGCCUGGGUAUGGCUUAUGGAAGCAUGGAGCAGCUCUCCGUGCUUUAAGUUGUUUUCGAUUUCGGACUUUCAAAGGACGAUCUGCUCUUUAGAGUUGAUUAGAGUAUUUGAGUAGCUAAAAGAUAAAUUUGUGAUUUUGCGGAUAUAGUUUGCUUAUGAUCGAAGGAGCUCAAAAGCAAUAUUUAAUGGCUGUGGUGAGCCGGUUGCAAGUUUAACAGUGUAGAAAAUAUUCGAAAUCACAUGAAUUUGAUAGAAAAUUAUUGUAUACCUUAUAAAUAAGAAUCAUAACUUUUGAUCUAAAAUUUUAAUGUUCAGUAAUCAUCACUAUUUUGUAAGAUUUUUAAUUUUCAGCCGUUAUUUUGAAGCCACUUCGGAUCACUAGAGCAAAUGAUAUCGAAAAAUCGCAAAUUUUUUUUGCUAGAUACCUUCAAAUAUUCUAGAUCACAGUCUAACGAGCAUGUCUCGAUUCGGAAGUGCUCGAACAUCGAAAAUAAGGAAGCACGAGCCUCCGUGCUUCCUAGCCAUCUCAGCCCGCACUAUAUAUAUUAUAUAAUAUAUAUAGUAGAAUUAGCGGGAAAUACUAUUAUAGUUAAAACGUCCUUUCUUGACUAUCAGUUGUAACCUUGUAUGAAAAUUAGAUAGGGUCGGACUGAUAUUAGCGGUUAGGAGUUGAUGUGGUACCGCUAGGGUUGAGUGUCACACUGUGUAAGAUUAUCAAUGGUUAGAAUAAUGAAAAGAGUUGAUCACUGGCUAAAAAACUGGUAGCACAAUAGAUUUUUGCUAUUAUGUAGCCAGAUUCAACACUAAUUAUAUAGAUAUAUAUAUAGUAUUAAUAUAAAGUUUCUUUUUUUCUUUUUUUGGAUUAUGUUUUGUUAAUCAAAUUUGAGUCAAAAGUGUUUGCAAUAUUCUAGUACCCACUACCACGAUGCUCAGAGAGAGAAAGGCUUGAGAAAAAUGGGUAGCAUGUUGCAACUUCCUCAUUUUAAAGAAAAAGUUAAUAUUAAUAUAUUUUUAUAAUUUAUAAAAUAAUAUAUUAUUUUUUGUAGGCUAAAAAUGCUCUUAUUAAUUUCUAAAUUUCUUAAAUAUACAUAACCAUAGGAAUUAAUGGAUGUAUUAGGGUAUAGAAGAGGUAUUUUAACUUGGAAUGCAUUUAAAUUUUUGUGAAACAGUAGUUACUAGUGGGAUUUGGAGUUUAGAACGGGAUUUUAAUUUGAAAUUUUGAACAAUAAUGAGGAGUAUAUAAUUAGCAAAGUCAUUUUAAAAAUAAACCUAACUGAAAUAUUAAAUAGGCAAAAAUUAUAAAACGUUAUCUUAAACGAUGAAUUAUUUUAAAUCAAACUAUCCAACCUUUCAAAGCUUUGAUUUUAUCACCCAAUCUUUCAAUUUAUUUGAUUUGAGUACUCAGUUAACGAUAUUUUUAACUUUACAAUUAAGCUAAUUAUUACUUUAUAUGAAGUAAACUAAUUAAAAUUUGUAAAGAUAACGACACAUUCAAAUUUUGAUAUUUAAAAUAUCAUUGGAUCGUGAUUUAGAUCAAACAAUUGAAAGAUAAGUUACUUAAUCAAAAUUUUUAGACUUGAUUUUCGACACUUCCAAUGUCUCAAUCUAACUAGUAUUUAGCAUAAUAACACAUUAAAUCAAAAUGACCUACUAUGCAAAACUUAAAAAACAGCAACUAAAAUCUCAUUAGGUAACUUGUAAUUAUAACAAAAUCAAAAUAUAUAACUAUUACUAAAUACACACAAACCAUAUAGUUGGUGUGUGUACAUUAUAUAUAUAUUAUCCCCAAAACAUAAUAUUAUGUUGUCCCCAUUUGCGAUGAAACCUAACUAGACUAGACCUAACCUUAAACAUUAGUAUUUUAAUCAACAAGAAUAAUAAACGACAGUUCUUAAGUAAAAUAACAUUUGAUACAUCUGUUAAGCGUUUAAUUCAUUGCCCAGUCAUGAGACUAUCAAAAAUUAUCGAGUCAGAGAACUGAAAAAAAAAAUAUAAAUAUAAAAAUAUAAAUACACUUCUUUUUCUAGUUUAAACUCUUAAAGAUAAACGUUGUUAAUUCAUAAAUUUACAUAUAAACUCUGGAAAUUAGCUCCUUUUUUGUCUAGAUUGUAAAUUUACAAUUAGAGAAAAGAUGAAUCACUUCAGCCUCAUCUCAUGUAUUAAUCAAUCUUAUAUUUAAUCCUAUCAUCCAUUGAAUUGCGUCUCUUUUUUAUUAGAAUGGUGUUAUUUUCAAGGAGUAAACCGAUAGGAAACGUUGUUUACAUAUUUUUAUAUUUAACACUCCCUCUCUGGGUCGAGACUUUUUCUUACACUAUAACAUGACUCGAAUUAAUGGGAGAAAAUUAGUAAUGUUAGGAGUCUGGCCAUGACUCAAACUCAGUACUUGUAUUCUGAUACCAUAUUAAAUAUAUGAAACAACCGUUAUUUUAAAAUUUAAAUAGUUAAAAGAAUGAUGUUCAAAUAUUUUUAUAUUUAACCUUUCUUUACUUUUCUCUCGGUCCAAAUGGAGUGUAUACCGUAAAAUAAUGGUUAUAGGGAUACAUUUUUUGGACACUGUUUGUCCAAGUGUCCCAUUAUGUACCAUUAUGUCCAAAUCCUCAGAAGGAAAAAAGAAAUCUACAAAGCCCAAACCAUAAUAAAAAAAUAUUUUUUUAAAAGUGUUUCAUUCUCUCAUCAAAAAUUUGUUAGGCCCAAAGAAGGCUUCCUAUCACACCUCACAACCUUUAGACCAAAGCCACAGAAACUUUUUAAAAAACCAAGCAACUAUCAUUUGUAUUCAUGCAUCUCAUUUGGUAUAGUACAUAAUGGCUUCUUGAUAUGAUAAAACUGAAGUUAUGCCUCUCUAUAAUUUAUUUGAAUCUUGUCAAAUAGAAAGCAUGUUAUCUGGAAAUAAGAGAUCAUAGUAGAAUGAAGCUCUAUCUAGACAUAUUAUAAGACCCCCAAAUUGCAUGUGUUAAUUACUAACAUGUAUUUAAGAAAUUUAGUCUAUUUAAGAAAUUAGGCCCUAUGGGAUCAACAAUAAGAGAUCAGAUUUAUUAUUAAUUCCUUCAUUAUUAGAUUAUUAUAUGUUGGUAUUAAUCGCUAUUAACAAUAAUGUUGAUUACGACUUAACGUAGACGCAUUAUGCAUGUCUUGGUAACAUUUCAGGAUCCUUGCAAUCUUUUUUAGAACCUAUGACUUUAUAAUUACGUCGCUUUAAUAAUAAAGCCGUGUGUUAGAUACGAUGGCUAUGAUCACUUUGACAUGUACAUUGAUUUAGAGGCGUCAUUAUCAUCAUUUAAUUUGGAUAAGUAAUAUCUGGCAAUAGUAACAACCAUUAGCAUGGUAUGACUAAACUGGUUGUAUGACAUUGAAUGCAAUGACCUUUGGAUUGCCUAAUUAGUAUUUCUGUCACAAGCUGUGAACUUUUUGUUUAAGAAUUUCAUUGAGGUGUAUUCCUUUCUCCUUUCGGCUGGUUGUCACAAUCCAAUUAUUAAGGCUCUUUUAUUUCUCAUUUUUUCUUAUCUUCAGCUUUAUUCUUUCUUUAAUCUUAAUUGAUUAAAGAAAAGAACAUUUAAUUUUGUUCUUUUCUUUAAUUUGUUACUCUGAUCAAUUUAAUUUAUUAUUAUUUUUUGGGACACUUUUGCUGCAAGUGCCCUAUCUAUGUCCAAAGCCUCUUUAAGAAAAAAAAAAUCUAUAGAUGUUGAACAGCAAAAUCUAUAAUUGAUGGAAGCAGAGUUGAAAGAAAACACAUUUUUUCAACUUGUGCUUCCAUCAAUUUGUUUCGUUCUUCAAGCAACGUCAUUUCACUUAGUAAUCAGAAAUUUAUUUCUGUUCAAAGGCAUAAGAAGUAAACAUUCUAUCUUUUCCUGGGUCGAACCAAGAUCCUGUAGAGAAAACAAUCAUUCAAUAGGAUAAGGUAUUGGGUUUUAGAAAUCAAAUUAGCUUCCACUUCAAGGCCUUUGAAGAUUUUGCUACUCUACUAGUAAAUGACUAUAUUUUUUAACUAGAGAACCUGAAAUUCUCAACUAGUUUUUAUGCUCACUCUGCCCGCUUCAUCUUAAAGCCAAUUCAUAUAACUUAGUUGGGGAAAUUGCACUAUCUGGUUACUGAACUGUGGUGAAAUUGUUUAAGGAUUAGACUUUGAUCGUUGCAAUUGAGUCAUUGGACUCGAAAUUUCAUUUAAUUGGUCACUUCAUCAAACUCAGCGUUAAUGGGUUAAUAUCUCUAGUGUGGAUUGGUAGUGGAUGGGUCGGCUAGUUCAGUUGCCGUUAUUUAUAUUAUAUGAUUCAGCUUCAUUUAAAUCUAGUAGUGUUUACAUCAAGUUCGAUGAUUGACGGAUGUAAUUUUAAUUACAUUAUUAUUACGUUGGACAUCACUGUUUGAUUGCGUUUUCUUAAACAUCCAUUGAGUUAUCUUUUCCCAUCUAAUAAUUAGGGACAUAUUUUCUGGUCAUUAAACUGGUAAUUAAGUGGCCUUAUUUGUGGAUCUUUAUCUCUGUUCUAGAGCUGCUGUAGAGAUUUAUAUCAGUAACUAGUUUCAUCUUUGCUUCUCCAUUUCUGUUACGACGUUAGCUUUAUGGUGUGAGAAACGUGAGAAUUGCUACUCUCUGUUCUUAGCCAUUCUUUCUUCGUUCCUCAAAAGCUCUUUUUGACAAGGGGUCUAUUUGUGGAACUACAUGUUGUCUGAAUUAUUGAAUGAAUGCAGGCUGAUGAGGACGCUGCAGACGCUUCGACUCUAAUAGGAAGUAAGCUAUAGGAUGACUCUUUUCUUUUCUGUGCUUGAGAUACACAUUCUAUUCAAUAACAAUGUUUAGCCUAACCCUGCCAUAUCGUAGUUCCUCUAAAGACGUCGCACGUGAAAUUUGUUCUUCACAAGGAAUGCCUAUUUUGGUCAACGGUCUUCUCUCGCGGAUGACCGAAUAUCAGUUCUUGGGAUCCAUCAAAUGCCAUUCCUUUGAAUGGUCUGAUGGCAUGUGUGGACAACUGAGCUGGUAAGUUCAAGAGAUCCAUACUCUUAUGUUUAACAUUAUUAGUUCAAUUACUUUUUAAGUAUCUGAUCUAUACUUUCAUUCAAGAUUACCAAUCAAAGUGAUAGGCUGAUAUUAUUACUGUGAGAUUCUUCAAUAAUCAGUAUGAUUUUUUUGUUGUCGUCAAAGUGCAUGAAGUUUGGAAUAUUGAUCUAAAAAAAUAAGGACUAAAUGAUUUCAUUAAGUAUUUAUAUGAUGAUUUUAAGCUUAAUCAUGUUGUCAUAUACAAUAUUGUAGUAAGACAUACAACGAUGUUUUGGAUCAUUGUAAAGCUAGAUAGCACAUUAAGCUUAAUUCUGUAGGCACUUCUCUACUCUUAAUUGGAUACCAGUUGUUGCAAUGAUUGUUGAUACAUCAUGGUAUGUUACAGAUGUUUUUGAAUAUAGGAUUUAUUAUAUGAUGUAAAUUUUUGAGUUGGGAACCUGUCGGCGAACUCUAAUGACAGAAAUGCGUGAUGCUUAUUUUAAUAUGGUAGAUUAAUGGAGGACUUCGUUAUAGUGGGAAUAAACUAUACGGGUUAGUAUCUGAUCUAACUUUUUAUUCUGCCAGGGAACUUUCUCACUUAAUAGCAGCUGGAAAACUUCACUGCAGAUCGACAAAGUCGCCGACAUUCUAGAAACUAACCGACCUGACGCCAGAAAUGCUUUAAUCUACGGGCAACUAUCAAGCAGGCGAUUUCUUGCUCAACCGCAUCUCAGAAGCUAUCAUGAAGUGAUCGAUUUGUAAAACAAUCUUUUGUCCCUUAAACUUAAAUAUGGUGCUGAAAUUUUCUUUUCAUUAAUAUCGUGCUGAAUUUUCUUUUACUUAAUAUGGUGCUGAAAUUUCUUUCAUCUUUUCAUACAUUCUCUCUAUGAAGCCUCCUUAUGCCGCAAUUUCAGUUUGACUUUGACUACAGAAUUUCUGGGUCGAUGCGUAUCGAUUUGAAUUCUUAUAUUCCUAUUUGUCAUUUUGGCUAAAAUAGCAACACAAGAUCUGAUUUCUUACAGCAGUUAUCUAUAUUGUUUUUUUCAUGUGGUAGUGCAGUUUUAUUCGUAGUACUUUUUACUUGAAUUGAAUUAUGGCAGAUGUUAGUGCUGUCUUCGAUUGACUAACUGAUAUUCUUCACGUCAUAUACCUAAUCUAAGGCACAGUGAGUAUUUAUUUCGCAAAUAUGUCUUAUAUUUCUUGAAUAAGAUGUCUUUCGCUCCUUCAGCUCUAACUUAAUUGAUUUCAUUUUUCAUCAUAUACUUUAAGUGAAUUGAUAUUUAGGGUAAUCUCUUUUGUCCUUUUGAACCAUAAAAUGUAGGAUAUUUCAGGACAAUCUCUUUGGUUCUUUCGAAUUCAUUAAAACUAUGUCCCAAAAAAGAGUUCACCAAUCUUAGAAUGUUAUCCUGGUUUCAAAGUUUGGUGGUCAAAGUCCAAGUUCAUAUAUGGUGGGGGGCACACAACUUUUUGUUGUUUUUUUUUUUUUUUAUGCUUCAACAAAUGCCCCCCACCUUUUCAAGCUUGUGAAUUAAACAAGGUGGAAAAAGGUGCCGAUCUCCUUUCACGAUUCCGACCUUCAUAUCGCCGUCAAGGGUUUGAUCAUCAAAGAUCCAAGCACUACAACAAAAACGGUAUAUAGCGACACUUUUAAGUGUCGGUAUCGGUCAGAAAAAGUGCUGCUAGCUAAAUUACCGACACUUUUAAAAAGUGUUGCUAUAUGUGGCGUCGCUAGGUAUAUAGUGACACUUUUUAAGAGUGUCGGUAUAACUUAAAAAAAGUGCUACUAAUAUACCGACACUUAUUUAAGCUUUUAGCAGCACAUAAAAGUGAUGCAAAAUAAUAUUCUAACAACACUUUUUUUUAAAUUUCAGCGACACUUUAUAACUGUCCCAUUUUUUAAAAAAUAUCCUACUUUUUCUUGAUGCAUCACAAUUUUUAAAAUGUAAUACCACUCCACAAUAAUUAUCAUCAAGCAUAUCUUUAAUUUUAUUGGCCUUGAUUUGCAUUAACAAAAAAAGCAUAUAAAAGAAGUUUUGUAGUCAUACUAAUUAAUACUAAAAUAUCUCAAAGUACUAUCCAUAUAUCUUUAAAUGAGUAUUUAGUCAUAAAUCACAGUAACAACAAUUUCUAGCUUUUUAACCCAAGAAAAAGAGAAAUAAAAACAAAAACUAAUAAUAUCAUAUCAAAUCCAGUCUUAGUGCUCGGCAAUUAAGAUGUUGAACCUACAAAUACAACAAUACUGAAAUUAAUAAAAGAUUAGUCAAAUAAUCUUUUAACAUGAAAACCAAUUAAGAUAAGUUUAAUUUUUACCUGAAGGGCAACGAGAUUAUUGAUGCAUAUUACGAGCGCUAGAUGCGUCUGAAACCUAAACGAAUAAAUUUUCUAGUAUUAGAUAAUCAUUUAAUCUUAAAAAAAGGCAUUAUCCAACAAUGAGCAAGAUAUUUUAAAAGUGGCAGAUUAUCAGACUCAAAAUGCAAUUUAAUGCAUGCAUCUUCAUUUCGUAUACAAGUAGUAAUUAAGAUGGUGGCUCCCCAAUCUAUUGCACUAAAUAAUUUACCACAACUCAUGAAGCAUAUGGCACCAAUAAAAAGAGAACAACAAAAGAACCAAAAAACUAGGACACAUUGUAUCAUUUAAUAUUGUAUCACUUUAUCAGAAACAACAACCAUAUUAAGUUUAAGACUGAAUUUGCAGAUAAGAAGCUUCAUAGAGAAAGAAAAUAAAAGUUUAGAUGCAGAUACUGACCCGUAUAGUUUAACCAUAUCAAGUCCAAAUAAAUAGGAAUAUAAUAAUUCAAAUCGAUACCCAUCGACCCAGAAAUUUCUGUCCAAACAAAUGUCAACUGAAUUUGCAGAUAAGGAGCUUCAUAGAGAGAUGUAUGAAAAGAUGAAAGAAAAUUUCAGCACCAUAUUAAGUGAAAGAAAAUUUCAGCACCAUAUUAAGUGAAAGGAAAUUUCAGCACCAUAUUAAGUUUAAGGGACAAAAGAAAUCGCCUUGCUUGAUAGUUGCCCAGUAGAAAGCAUUUCUGGCGUCAGGUCGGUUAGUUUCUAGAAUGUCGGCGACUUUGUUGAUCUUGCAAGGAAGUUUUCCAGCUGCUAUGAAGCGAGAAAGUUCCCUGGUAGAAAAUAAAAGUUUAGAUGCAGAUACUGACCCGUAUAGUUUAUCCUACCUAAUAACGAAGUCCCCUCAUUAAUCUACCACUAGUGAAGGCACCCGCGCGUUGCGGCGAAUUAAUUUUAUGAAAGUAAAUAAUCAUCAAUGAUCUACACAGUUUUGGGGGAAAAAAAAAUAAGAAAAAAGAAAAGUUAAAAAAGAAGACAAAUACUAAAUAAAAAGCAAAUGAAAGUGCGAAUAAUUAGAGAUAAAUGAAUCAAUUAAAAGAAGCAGCGCGAGUUUCAAAAUAAAAGCAUAAAGAAUGUAAUAAACUUUUCUAGGGAGCAACUACUGCAUGUUAUGUAGUCCUUCAUAUUGCUCUCAAUGGGGGCACAGGAAAAUACUUCUUAGACUGCAGUGAGAGUCGCCAUUUGGCCAUCAAAAUUGGAGAACCAUUUGGGUUCCUUCACUUUUUUUUGUCAUCAUCGCUCAUUAAUAAUCAACACUUUGAACCAAAAGGAAGGGGAACCAGCAACAGUAAAAAUAGAGAAGAAUAGAAGUGGCUCAAAAAGAAGAAAAAGAAACAGCAGUAGCAGCAACAAAAAUAACAACAAAAUACUAAAUAGAAAUAAAAUACCUAAUAAUAUCAUAAUCCAUCUUUAGCAUUUAUUGGUAAGAAAUUAGAAAUCAUAAGCAGUAAAAAAUUAAUCUAAACAAAUAGUGAAGACGCGUUACAGCAGGCUAGUUCUAUGAAAGUGAACAAUUAUUACUAUUCUAAACAAUUAGAAAAAGAGGGGGAAAAAAAAGAAGGAAAAAAAAAAGAAAUAAAAGAAAAAUACAAAAUAGGCACCAAAUAAGAGUAUGAAUAUUUAAAGCUAAAGCAAUAGACUAAGAGAAGCAAAGCGAGUUUCAAAAUUAUAAGGCAAAAUUGUAUGACAAUAUAUAUUUCAUAGACAAAUUAAAUAAAUGAAUAAGUGAUUGAUUGAAUUUCAGCUCAAUUAAACUUCGCAAAAAAUUCGACAGAUUGAGUAUCAGAGCCAGCAACAAUAGAGGCGUAAAUAAAAGGAACUGAAGAAGGAAACUAAAGAAAAAGGAGAAGAAGAGACAACAACAAUAGCAGCAACAUAGUGAUAAAACACAAAAUAGAAAUAAAAUACCAAAUAAUAUCACGACUGGUUUUAGCGGCAAAUGAGCUCAAGAUACAAAGCAUCGCAUCAUUAUAUAUCUCUUCUUUGUAACAUUUUGGUUGGCAAUUUCAAAGGAAUGAUAGCUAGAAGAGUCAUCAUUUUGCCAUCAGAUUUGCACUGCUAUUUAAGCUCCUUCAAGUUUUUUUUAAAAAAAAUUUAGAUAGCAAACUUGUUGUACACCAUAAGGAAUAGAUCAUUAUGCUAUAUUACACUUUUUUCAACCAUCAUUUUAACAACCAACUCACCAUUCACUCUGUUCGAAGAGUUUCACACCUAAGAGGUUGCACCUAGUCCAAUCUAAAUAAUUUCAGCCUCAUGAAUUUUUAGAUCAAAUACAAAAUAGAAAUAAAAUACUGAAUAAUAUCAUAAUCAUAAGUGGUAAAAAAUUAACCAUAAAUGAGCUCAGAUAAUAAGCCAUGUGUCGGUGUUUCUUUUAUACAGCAUUUUACUUGGCAGUUUUAAACAAAUAAUAGCUGCAAGAUUUGCCAAUUGGCCACCAAAUAUGCAUUGCUACUUGAGUUCAUUCAUAUUUUUUGUUAAUCAUCAUCGCUCUAUGGUUGAUUAACACACUAAAAAGGGAGGCAGUUAGAUGGAAGCAAGUAAAGAAUGGUUCAAAAUGGUGAAGACAGAGCCAUGCACUUGUACAUUGCAGCAGAGGGGCUGAAAGAAACCAAAGUAGGCACCAUGCAUGCAGUGGACACUCUGUGCUACAAAGAAACAGCCUAGCUGAAGCUAAUACCAACAGCAACAAAUGCUACAAUUGCUGCGGCAGAUUUCAAGUAGAGGUGAAGUUUGCAUCAACAGGAAUAUAAAAGGAGGAGAAUUGACAGCCAACUAUGGCAACAAAUCAACACAAAACAUAUCAAUAUGUCAACGUCCAAGAUAUUGACGCAAGAAAAAAGAGUUCAUAUGGAUAUAGUAAAUUUGUAAACAGUAAGAAUAAAGGAAUUUGUAAUAUAAAAGUACAUACCUGUAAAAAUAUCCACUAAGCUGAAAACUUAGUGGCUUCUGUUUGCAGAUCUUGUACAUUUUUGUUCGAGUUCAGGGGCAUUAUGCAAUUUCCUCUCCUUUGAUCAUGCGGCUAAUUAUGUAUUGACCAAAAUCCUAUCAAAUCAUGCCAAAUAUAUAUAAAUAUACGCCAAAGAUAUUUAGAAACAACACUCUAUUUAAAAUUGGAAUAGGAUUCAAAAGUAACAUAAUUACAGGAUUUAAUUUCUUUUAUUUAUAAAAGUAAAAAAAUCUAUAAUAAUACCAAAGAAGGCUUAAAUUGUAGAAUACACAUGUCUCUCCCUGAAACAACAAUGAUAAAAAAAUCAUAUAAAGGUAAUGCGGCGAUUAAAGAGAAGAUGAUGAGGCGUGCGGUGGGAAGGGAAAGAGAGAGAAAAAGAGAGAGAUUAAAGAGGCCCAGUGUUAAAAAAUAUAGAUAAAUCUAAAAAAAAGAGGGCUUGCCAUAUCAUCAGUUUAUUGGGGAUUCAUAUAAAGGUAUAGAUAUUAGAAAAUAAGACCCACUUAAUUACCAGUUUAAUUACCAAAAAACAUGUCCCUAAUUAGUUAGAUAGGAAGAACAAUAACUCAUCACGGAUGUUAAGAAAAUGCAAUCAAACAGUGAUGUCCAAUGUAAUAAUAAUAUAAUUAAAAUUACACCGUCAAUCACCGAACUUGAUGGCUAAACACUACUAGAUUUAAGAUGAAGCUGAACAUUAUUAUAUUUAAGAUGAAGCGGCAACUGAACCAGCCGACGCACCAUUCCACAAUCCACACUAGAGAUAUUAACCCAUUAACCAGAGUUUGAUGGAGUGACCUAAUUAAAUGAAAAUUGGAGUCCAAUGACUCAAUUGCAACUGAUCAAAGUCUAAUAAUCUAAACAAAAUUUCUAUUUCUCAAAUGCUUACCAGAGCUACAAAUCUAGAACCCUAGAUCAAAAUUUAAACAAAAACUCAGCUGCCUCGCGCAUCAAAAGGGAGAAGGUACCAGUCUCUCGUGGCGAAGAGCGCCGUGCCGUCGACGGCGACGGAACCGUCUGCCAGAUACCAGCAAUGUUCUCUGCUGUGGCGUGCUCACCAUAAGCAGAAAAUUCAAUCUAAGCAGGGUUAGAUUGAAACAGUAACUGAGACCAAAUCAAUCACAUGCUCACCAUAAGCAGGGUUAUUGCUUUUUUACCAAGAAAAAUUUCGCGAUCUCGAACAAACUUCGUGAAAAACCAUCAAAUUUCGAUCCAUUCAGCAUAAGAUCAAUAACCGAAUCGAAAUAUCUCUAGAGUUCCGCGUCCUCACCUCGUCGGUUUCGUAAUCGACGGAGCUUGGGGUACGCAAUCGCACCUCCUCUUCCUUUUCCUCCUCCUCCUCCUCUUCCCCCGCUGAACCCUUGCUCCCAAUCUCGUCUCCCGCGUCAGGAUCGGGUUCGAGAUCGGCAUUCUUAAGCAUCUCGAGCGUUCUCUGGCACUGCUCGAGCACCGCCUCUAGGGUGCGCCGCCGCACGCGGACUUGCUCCUCCGCCGCGCCGCCGCCGCCGCCGCCGCCUCUGCUGCGGCGGCCGUGGGGCCGCUGCGGCGGUGGAGGGGGAGGAGCGCACGGGCUCGGCGGCCGCCGCCGCCUCCAUGGCGACGCCGUAGAAAACCUUAAGAAGUAAGGGAUCGUGGAAGCCCCCACGGCAUAAAUUUCAACAAAGAGAUAUCCACCGCACCAGGCGGAGCUCGAGCUCGGAGAGGGGGAGGAGAGGGGAGGGAGAGAAGAAGUCGACGCUGAGGCGUUCCUGUGAGGUCGAUGCAGGGAAGAGGCUACGUCGGAGGAGGAGGAGGAGAGCGAGGGCCACUCUAGGGUUUCGGGAGGUCGGGUGAGGGGAGAAGAGGGAUACGACCCCCUUUUGUUUUCUCUUUUCUUUUUUUUUCUUUUUUUUUUUUUUGUAAUUGAGGUUUUUAUUUGGACUUGUUAGUUUUUUUUUCUAAUUUUAAAUUUUUGAACAUAUUGUGGGACACUUAUACUAAAGUGUCCCAAAAAAGUGUCUCUACAACCUAGUUUUGUUGUAGUGAAGGUAUUAUUAUUUUUUUUAUAGUACUGAUUGAUUUCUAUUGAUGUUAUAUAUAUAUACGUGUCUGUAUGCAUGUUUGGAAUCUGUACGAGAUGUAUUCGACCCGUGAAUAGUUUGAUCAUGACAUAUCUAAAUUCAAAACAUCUUAUCUUAGAUCGUAGAUUUUACUCAUACGUUCCAUAUUGUAAUCCUUUUUCUAGAUCAUGGGAAAAACGAGCGAGCCAUUNUGCAUGAAUAACAAAUGAUAGGUUGGGUUUUUUAAAAAGUUCUGUGGCUUUGGGCUCAAAGGUUGUGAGGUGUGAUAGGAAGGGCCUUCUUUUGGGCCUAACAAAUUUUUGAUGAGAAUGAAACACUUUUAAAAAAAUAUUUUUUUAUUUAUGGUUUGGGCUUUGGUAGAUUUCUUUUUUCUUCUGAGGAAUUUUGGACAUAAUGGUACAUAAUGGGACACUUGGACAAAAGUGUCCAAAAAAUGUAUCCCUAUAACCCUAUUAUGUUGUAGUGUAUACACUCCAUUUGGACCGAGAGAAAAGUAGAGAAAAGUGUUAAAUAUAAAAAUAUUUGAACAUCAUUCUUUUACUAUUUUAAAUUUUUAAAAAUAACGGUUGUUUCAUAUUAUUUAAUAUGGUAUCAGAAUACGAAGUACUGAGUUUGAGUCAUGCCAGACUCCUAACAUUACUAAUUUUCUCCCAUUAAAUUCGAGUUCAUGUUAUAGGCCUAGUAAAAAGUCUCGACCCAGAGAGGGAGUGUUAAAUAUAAAAAUAUGUAAACAACGUUUUCUAUCGGUUUAACUCCUUGAAAAUAACACCAUUCUAAUAAAAAAGAGACUGCAAUUCAAUGGAUGAUAGGAUUAAAAUAUAAGAUUGGAUUAAUACAGAGAUGAGCUGAAGUGAUCAUCUUUCCUCUAAUUGUAAAUUACAAUCUAGACAAAAAAGGAGCUAAUUUCCAGAGUUUAUAUUGGUAAAUUUAUGAAAUUAACAACGGUUUAUCUUUAAGAGUUUAAACUAGAAAAAAAGUGUAUUUAUAUUUUUAUAUUUAAUAUUUUUUUUUUUUCAGUUCUCUGACUCGAUAAUUUUUGAUAGUCUCAUGACGUGGGGCAUGAAUUAAACGCUUAACAGAUGUAUCAAAUGUUAUUUUUACUUAAGAACUUCGUUUAUUAUUUUGUUGAUUAAAAUAUUAAUGUUAAGGUUAGGUCUAGUCUAGUUAGGUUUCAUGCAAAUGGGGGACAACAUAAUCAUUAUGUUUUGGGGAUAAUAUAUAUAUAUGUACACACACCAACUAUAUGGUUUGUGUGAUCUUAGUAAUUAUUUAUUAUUUUGAUUUUGUUAUAAUUACAAGUUACCUAAUGAGAUUUUAGUUGCUGGUUUUUUAAGUUUUGCAUAGUAGGUCAUUUGAUUAAUGUGUUAUUAUGCUAAAUUACUAGUUAGAUUGAGACAUUGGAAUGUGUCGAAAAUCAAGUCGUAAAAAUUUUGAUUAGAGUAACUUAUCUUUCAAAUUGUUUGAUCUAAAUCAGUCAAUGAUAUUUUAAAUUCAAAAUUUGAAUGUGUCGUUUAUCUUUACAAAUUUAAUUAGUUUACUUCAUAUAAAGUAAAUAAUUAGCUUAAAUUGUAAAGUUAAAAUAUCGUUAACUGAGUACUCAAAUCAAAUAAAUUGAAAGAUUGGGUGAUAAAAUCAAAGCUUUGAAAGGUUGGAUAGUUGAUUUAAAAUAAUUCAUCGUUUAGAUAAGUUUUGUAUAUUUUUGCCUAUUUAAUAUUUUCAGUUAGGUUUAUUUUUAAAAAUGACCUUUGCUAAUUAUAUACUCCUCAUUAUUGUUCAAAAUUUUUAAAUUAAAAUCCCCUUCUAAACUCCAAAUCCCACUAGUAACUACUGUUCAAAAAUUUUAAAUCAUUUCCAAGUUAAAAUACCCUUCUAAACCCUAAAUCCCAUUAAUCCUAGGGUUAUAAGUAUAUUUUAAGAAAUUUAGAAAUUAAUAAGAGCAUUUUAGCCUACAAAAAAUAUAUUAUAUAUUUUUAAAAUUUUAAAAAAUAUAUUAAAUAUUAACUUUUUCUUUAAAAAAAUGAAGGAAGUUGCAACAUGCUACCAUUUUCUCAAGCCUUUCUUCUUCUUGAGCAGUGUGGGUAGUGGGGACAGAAUUUGCAAAACUUUUGACUCAAAUUUGAUUAACAAAAAUAAUCCAAAAAAAGAAAAAAAGAAACUUUUAUAUAUAUAUAUAUAUAUAUAUAUAUAUAUAUAUAGUUGAAUGGGUACUCAUAAAUAGCAAAAUCCUCAUUUGUUGCUACCAGUUUUUUAGCCAUUGGAUCAACUUUUUCAUUAUUUCUAACCACUUGCGAUUAAAUAGUUUAAACCCAGUGUGCCACUCAACCUAGUGGGACCACUCAACUCUAACCGACUAAAUAUCAUCCCGACCUACAAUUUUUCAUCAGAGGUUACAAAUUGAUAGCAAAAGAGUCCAGCGUUAUUACUAUUAUAGUAUUCCAGCUAAUUCCACUAUAUAUAAUAUUAUAUACUAUUAUAUAUAGUGCGGCUGGCAUGUUAUGGGAAGAACGGGGGCUCCGUGCUUCACUUUAUUUUCUGAAUGUUCGGACUUUCGAAUCGACGAUCGGCUCGUUGACUUUGAUCUAGAAUAUUGACAGUAUCUAGAAAAUAAAUUUUUGCGAUUUUUCGAUAAUCAUUUCCUAGUGAUCGAAGUGAACCUCAAUCAACGGCUGAAAUAAAAUCUUCAAAAUAUAUCGAUUAUGACAUUAAAUUUUAGAUCAAAGUUAUUGACUUAUUUUAUAUAGGUUAUAAAGAAUUUCUAUCAAAAAUUUACAUGCUGAUUUUGGAUAUUUCUACACUGUUAACUUGCCAACCGCUCACCACAGCCAUUAAAAUUAUUGAUUUUGAGCUCCUUCGCAUCAUAGGGCAAAUGAGUAUCGAAAAGAUCACAAAAUUUAUUUUACGCUCUUUCAAAUACUCUAGAUCAACUCUAACGGAGCAGAUCUGUCAAUUUGAAAGCUCGAACAUCGAAACAACUUGUGAAAGCACGGAGAGCUCCAUGCUUUCCAUAAGCAUUACACGGCACCAGCCCACUCUCUCUCUCUCUCUCUCUCUCUCUCUCUCUUACUUAAUAUAUAGCUAUUUCUCCUAUUACUAUUUGUACCCCCGCGAGCUUCGGUAAUCUCUAGUCUCGUUUUCGAUCUUUAGGGUGCUCUCACACACAACAGAUUCAUACCGUAAAACUGAUCUAAGUAUUUUUAAAGUUUUUAGAAAUAAAACUUUUAUAUCUUUUAUCGACAUAGAUUUACUUUAUAAUUAAAUUUUCAAAAUUGUCAAUUUUCAAUGGCUACUAUGAGCGAUGUUUGGAGUUUUACGGUAGAAGAGUCUUAAUUCUAUCAAAUUUUGGUAUAGAAAAAUACUUUAACCUAUCUAGAUAACGGUUAAAUAUGAUGAUCUUGUUUAAAGUCUUAUGCUUCAAAUUUUACAGAUUAAUCAUUUUCGACCGUCUAUUUUGACUAAUUUAUUUACUAAGUAAACGAUUCGAAAAAACUAAAAUUUUAUUUCUAGAAACUCAAUAUACCACUAAUAUAUAUUUAACAGUGUGGAUCGUUAAUUGACACGCCUGAUUUAAUAACAAGAUAUAGUAUCGGAGCUCCGGUCACUAUAAUAGUAUAGUAGCUAAAUUCUAAAUUAUUAUAUAAAUAUAUACUAUAUAUAUAUAUAUAUAGAGCUAGGCUCCUAUGCUUUCGAAAGUACGGAGGCCUCCGUGCUUGUAAGUUGUUUUCGAUGAUGGGACUUUCAAUUCGGCGAUCGGUUCCGUUAAAUAUGAUCUACGCUAUUGGAACUAUCUAGAAACCAAAUUUCAUAAUUUUUUGACUUUGUUUGCCUAGUGAACGAGUAGCCUAAAAAUGAACGGCUGAAAAUAAAAAUCUCAUAAAAAACAGUGAUAAAAGACUCAAAUUUCAAAUCGGAAGUAUUGUUUUUAAUCUUAAUGUUAAGUAGAAUUUUCUAUUAAAAAUUCAUAUAAUUUGGAAACUUCUACACCGUUGAAUAUUUAAACGUGCCACAUCGGCCGUUAAAAUAGUCAUUUUUGAGACCCUGUGAUCGCUUGGUAAAUGAUGGCGAAAAAUUGUAAAAUUUGAUUUCUAGAUAGUUCCAAUAGCAUAGAUUAUGCCUAACGGAGCCGAUCGUCGAAUCGGAUGUUCUAUAAUCGAAAACAACUUACAAACACGGAGGCCUCCGUACUUUCGAAAGCACGGAAGACGUACUCUCUCUCUCUCUCUCUCUCUCUCUCUCUCUCUCUAUAUAUAUAUAUAUAUAUAUAUAUAAUAGAAUAGGGCUACUAUACUCUUACGAGUAUAGAGCACAUCGUACUCAUAAGUUGUUUUCUAUGCUGGAGUUUUUGAAUCGACGAUCUACUCCGUUAAAUAUUAUCUACAUUAUUUAAAACUUCUAAAAAACAAAUUUCAUAAUUUUUCGAAAUCAUAAUAAAUUCCAUCAAACGGGCAUAAAAUGAAGGGUCAAAAUUGAACGACAUUCAAAAAAUGGAUGAUCGGACCCUUCAAUUUAAGAUCGGAGUUAUUGACCUUUAUCUAGAUAGUAAAUAGAAUUUUCUAUCAAAAAUUCAACCGAUUUUGAUUUUUUUACACUGUUAAACUAGCAAGUAUUCCAUACCGACCGUUAAAAAUUAUUAAUUUUGUGACAUUUUGAUCGUAAGGUAAAUGAUGUCGAAAAAUUAUGAAAUUUAAUUUUUAAAAAUCUUAAAUGUUUCAGAUAAUGUUUAAUGAUAUGGAUCGUCGAUUUUGAAGCUAUAUCAUCGAAAACGAUUUAGGAGUACGAGGGUGAUCGUAUUCAUAAGAAUAUAGUAGAUGGACUCUCUCUCUCUCUCUCUCUAUAUAGGCUUUGAAAGAUAUAUGCAUUUUCUUACCCCAAUAAAUUUUAAUAUCAUUACUCUAAAUUAAAAUAUUUAUUACAAUGUCCUGUAUUUAGAUUUUGAGAUUUUAUGUUUUAAAUUUUAUUUGUUAUUAAAAUCAGUUUGGUUUCGGAUUCGACGUUUGCAAAAUCCAAUUGUAUCCGACCCAUUGACAUCCCUGCCCAUGAUUUGUUAUGACUCACUUGUUUCAUCGAAGAUAAAAUUUAUAUUUAAGUAGAUUUUCGAAUGAACCAAAAUUCAGGUGAAAACUAUUUUUCUUUCGUUGUUUGUUUGUAUAGUUAAAAUUAACACAAUUUUACUAUUUAUUUGACAGAAAAUAACUAACGUAAAAGCUCAAAAUAAUCUAUUAAUAUUUUAUUAUAUCUUCUUUUUUUUUUUUUCCUCCGUAAUUGACUUCGGCGGAGAAUGCUCCAAAGCCAAUUACAAUAUUUUCGAAAAUUCUAAUUUUAACCAAAAAUAAAGUAAUAAUGAACCAAACAACAACAAAAGCAGGCAUUUGUUGAAAACUUUGCACCUUUCACUUCUCUAUCUCCACUUUCAAUAAAACAAACAAACAAACACACCUAAAUGUGUAUGUGAGAGAGAAAGAGAGAGAGUUCUACAAAAGGAAACAAUGCAGUAUUUAUAAAAUAAAGAUCAUUUAGGAGUACUCUUAUACAUAUUUAUCAUAGUAUAGGAACACAAUUAGAACACCACCACCACUUAACAAACCAACAACNNNNNNNNNNNNNNNNNNNNNNNNNNNNNNNNNNNNNNNNNNNNNNNNNNNNNNNNNNNNNNNNNNNNNNNNNNNNNNNNNNNNNNNNNNNNNNNNNNNNAUAUAUAUAUAUAUAUAUAUAUAUAUAUGUGUGUGUGUGUGUGUGAAGAGAAGGAUAAUUAAUGUCGGUCUCAAAGUCGAUAAUACCCAUUAUAAUGCACCUAAAUAAAUAGAAAAUUUAGUCUUAUAUUUCAAUUUUUGUUGCUUCAUAUUUUGAUUAUAUAUAUCUCCCAACUAAGUUAAGUUCUCAAUUCAACUACUUUGCUUUGCAUUCUCAUCUAACUAAUUAGAAGAGGGAUAUUCUAAUCAUGACCAGCUUAUCCGAAUGUAACGAGAGGGCGUAAUUAAUCGGAUACAUGUAGGUAUCUGGGAAGCAUGAAUCCUUUAAUCUUUGAUUCUUUUAAGCAUUAAUAAAUAGCUUGCUUUUUUUAAUUUACUUACUUAUAUUUCAUUUUAUUUUAUUUUAUUUUCGUUUUAUCCCUUAUUCAUUUUUCGGAAAAACAGGUGCAUAAUAGAAUAGUCUUCUAGGUAGAAGAUGAUAGAGAAAUGAGAAAGAUUGAAAAAGAGGGUUUAUAUUGAAAUUACUAUAGGUAGAAGAUAAAUCGGAUAUAAUUAUUCUCUUAAUUAGUAAAUUUUAUUUCGUUCGUAUUUUUCAUAAUUUUUUUUUUCUCUUCGUGUUGUAUCAGUUUUUGCCGAGGUGAUGGAUUUACAAUAAAAACCUGAUUUGAUGCUUUCGUUGUAGAAUCCUAACAAUCGGUACCAAAGCGAGUACCGGAUUUAUAACAGUCGAUAUCAGAGCCCAAAAUCAAGUAUCAGAACGAGUACUGAAUUCCCAACAUAUAGACGACCAAUUAUAGGAAAAGAAUAAACAAAUUAAUAGAACAGGAGGGCAUUGUGUAGCCUUAUUGUAAGAUUUUUGUUUUGUUAAAUAAAAUUUCUACAUAAAUUAGUGUAGGAAUGAAUGUAGAUUGCUUACAAUCCUCAUAUCCAAGAUGUUUGUUUGAUAACAAAAAUAAAAAUAAACACUUACAAAUAAUUUUUUUAUUUUUUUCAGGAUAAUCUUCAAUUUGACCAGUGUGAUCUAGCGCAAUUUUCUUUUACCAAGCUGUAAAUUCAAAAAACUACAUUUAAUUAUCUUGUGAUUUUAUUUUUAUUUUGCCAUAAAGAACUAUUGUUAAAAAGAGUAGAAAAGUGAUACUUUAUGCAAAUCAUAGAGUGAUAAAAUACAGAUUAGAAAAUAAUAAAAUAUGCCACAUAGUUUGCAAAAUUAAUUACCAUCACUUUAUUAUCCGGCGUGUUUACCAACAGUUCAUUAUGGUGAAACAAAAAUAGAAAACUACAAGUUAGUACCUUGCUGCUUCAAUCUGAAGCUUUGAAGCUGAAACAAAAACAAACUGCAUUAAUAUCUGUUGGAACACUUUAUUAGUAAAAUUAAUUUUUAGUCAUCGACCACUAUUUGUCUCAAGGAGUUACAUCCUUUCAUAUUCUAUACAUUCCUGGUGACCUUCUAUAACCUAUACCAUUUCAAUUUCCAAAUCUCAUAAUUUAUGUAUUUUCAUUCCUAUAACUCUUAACCUUUCAAUUAGCUUUUAAUUGUUGACAACUUACUUCUUGUAACUCCAAAAAAUAGUAUUCUUCAAGAGUUGUACUGGAUAUUGCUUUUUUUUGAGAAAGAGGUAGCAAGCUACCUGCUUCAUUCAUUAAGCGAAAUGAAUUUAGCGUACAUAAUGGAGACAGCUAAGGCCCCCUACCGAAACCGGAAAACAACAAAAUAAUAAAUGCAGUAUAGAUAAGUAAACAACAACAAAAGAACUAUAAAAGCAGUAUAGAUAAGUAAACGAAAGCUCGACUCGAGAUAUUAAAGAACGGUUACGGGACAAUUGCCUCGGUCCAAGUCUUCGUUAGCGCAACUAUCCGCCCAAUUGCACGGUUAGCGUCCGGAGUGUCCUCAUUGAAGACGAUCUUGUUGCGCUCCGUCCAAACUACCCACCAGAUUGCUGCCAACCGUUGUACUGGAUAUUGCUGUGUCUUUCCCUCAACCAUCGGCCUAUUUCUAUAGCCCAAUUAUUGAAUGAUUGGUGUGUAAAAUUAUUAUUGACUGAUUCAAAUCAAAUAUAUUGCUGUAUCUUUGUAGUAUCCUAGGUAGAAUAGGGAGUUGGUAAAAGGGCCUUUUGGUCUUUUGCCAAUUUUUAUCAAUUCUACCGCCUUAAUUAGAGGUGGCAGGCAGUGGAGGAGCUUUGGAGGGUUGCUAAUUUUUUUUUUUUUUCUUUCUUUUCUCUUUCUCUAGACUUUGAACGUGAGUUGGGUGAAGACUUCGGUUGGGGUUGGGAUCGACGUCGACUUCGCGCCAGCGAGCCGUUUGAGCCUACGUGCGUCGUGGUAAGCGCCGUUGGAGGCCGGGCGAGCGCGGGAUUUCUUCUCCUAUCGACUUCUCGCCGUUGUUGGAUUAGCGUUCGAGGUGGGUUAAUCAUCGGGUUUCUACUCCUAAGCCUAGUUGACAGCGUGUAUUUUUAGGUCUUCGUAUAUCUUGUUUAUUUUAGCUCGAAUUUGUGAUUGGCAUGUUUAUAUGUGGAAUCUGAGUUUGGAGCAUAAAGUAAUAAUUUUAGACAAUUUAUACAUGUUGGACGUGGAUUUGACUUAGGAGAAAACCGGCGAUUCUACACUGUCAUAUGUUUACACUAUCAGACACGCUUGUAUACUCGAUUGGGUAGCGCCCACGAGUGCCACUCAGAAGUCGGGUUUUGUGCGUUUGCGUUGGUGUCGUAGUAUCCUGGUUGGACUUGCUCUCCAAGGAUUGCUUAGUGUGGAGGUAGCUUUAGUUUCGACAGGCGGGACAGGUGUGUUUACAGUCCCUGGGGCGGAUAUGUUUAUAGUCCCUAGUGAGAUUGGGUCAGGAUUGACAUUUACUACAGAUGGCUAAUGUUAGAGUAUGAUAGUGUAGUGACAUUUAGCUGUAGAUUUAUUCCAGCUUUUUCUACUAUUCCUGCUUACUUCUGUAGAUUUGGUGGCUGAACCGAUGAUUUUUUAGGGUGGUACCCACUGAGAACUACUUUUUUUGUAGUAGUUCUCACGCCCAGUUGUUACCGUUUGUUUUGUAAAGCCGUCGUCUGCGGCUGCUGCUGCUGCUGCUGAUCUUGAUCGUGGUAAGUGCGUCGCGAGUUAGAGCCCUACCAGACGAGCCAGAGCUAGUGGAGUACCAGUUACAGGUUGUUGUAGUUUUUCAGUUCGUAUACAUACUAUUGCUGUACCUCGCUGGGCGAGCUGUUUGUAUACCUGGAUGUUUGUAUGUAAAGUGAACUUCAGUUUUAUAUAUCUCAUUUUUUUUAGCAGCUCUAUACUACUAGUUGUAGUAUUGUAUGAUUAUAGGAACAGCUAUCGCUUCAUAUAUAGGAAAAUUUUUUUGUAUACGGCGGAUUUGUCGGCGUGUGCAGGGAACGAGUAAUCCGGGGUGUGACAGUCUUUUCCUCAGCCUUCAUUAAAAAUAUUAUUGACUGAUUCAAAUCAAAUAAAUUAAAAAAUUAGAUAGUAUAAUUAAAAUUUUAAAAAAUUAGAUAGUCAAUUAAAAAUGAUUCAUAAUUUAGAUAAGUUAUGUAUAUUUCUACCCACCAAAAAUUUGGGGCUUAGCAAUCUGUUAAAAUACUUGCCGAUAAAGUGACAUUUCAUUGUGUGUUACACUUCAGAAUUUUGCAUUUUCAUUCGUCUAUGAAUAAUAGAUUUUUCUCCUUACUGCACUGAGUUGCUUUAUAUAGUAUAUGAUGGGUCCCGGAAAAUUUUCUACAUGUAUGAGUCGGUUGUUUAGUUUUUUUUGAGUAAAUUAGCGCCUAAACCAAUUUAAAAUUUACCUUUUCCUUUUUCUUUUUUUUCAUGCACUAAAUAAUUUAUUUGUUUGGACAAAUAUGCGAUAAUUAAAAGCCAAUCUUGACUUUAGUUGACUACUGUUACUCGGAUAGUGGUCAAUUUUGUUUCUGCUUCCAGAAGUAGAAAGAUCUAUAUAAUUGCCGCGGCAGUUGUAGGUGUUGAGGCAGAGAAAGCGUCAAUAUAUAUACCAUCUUGUAUAUCCCAGAAGAAGAAGAAGAGAAUAAGAUCAAACCAAUAUGUCUGAGCCCCAACGAGAACAUAUGGACUACGAGUUGCUCGAGGUGUUGAUGAGAGGGGACGAGGAAGUCAUUAAAAUGUUCUUCUCGCAGGAUGCAGAAUCUGAUAGAUUUUAUAGGUAUGUAAAAUAAGACCAAAAACUAAGAUAACUCACAUAGCGCCAUCGAGAAGAAAUUUCUGAUCAAUCUGCGGAAGCGUGAAGUCCGGCUAUGAUAUGAAAGUUAUGAACCGAACUUGGGUGAUUUAGUUUCUCCUAUCUCAUGCACUCUACCGUAUGGUGUGAGACCGAUGGUAAUUCUUCACCAGAAUGCGUAUGAGAAGGUGGCAGGACCAAUACCCCUUACAUAGAGUCCAGAUCUACUUAUCAUCAAAGUCUGAUUAGGAUUCUAUUUAAAUUUAAAAUAGAUAGGAUAGGGAUAAAAUAUACCAUAUUUUAGUUCUAUAUCUAUUAGGAUUGACCUUUAUCUAUAGUAAAUCCAGAUUUGAAUAUGAUUAAUUGGGCCAUAAUAUAUGAAAAUCUUAACAAUCUCUCACUUGGCUCAUAUUAAUCAUAUUCUAUGAACGGAUUUUCUAUACUCUAAUCUUUAUUGCGCAUUAUUGGAAACUUUAUGGUCAAAUACCAUACAACUCAUUUGAUCUUUAGCUCAAACUAAAAGACUACAAUGAUAGGAACUAUGGCGGUCCACCUCUUCAUAACGAAAUUUUUCUUCCAUAAUUACCGUAUCAUUUUCACAUUCUAGCCGAGUACUUUAUAUGACACAACUUUAUGAAUGAACUUAAACUGUAUGUUUAUUCAUUAAUAGACGAAACUUUAUGCCUAUUAAAUGGUCCAAUACAGCUGCAUUAAACUUUAUUGAAAAAAAAUAGAUGUUACAAAUUUAUACAUCUAAAGAACUAAUCAAACCCAUACUUCUAACACAAUCUGUAUAUGACCCAGGUGCCGGCCCCUUGAUCAUUGGGUUUGCAAUCAUACACUUGGUACUGAUGUAUUUAAUUGUAACAUAACAUUCAUCUAUCUUCUCUCUCACAACAAGAUAUUUGGUGUCCAAGUAUUUACACCCUGCUGUAAUCUUGUUGUUAUUUGCAAAAGAAACCGCAGCUGAACUAUCACAGAAAAUCUUUAUUGGAUAAACGUCAGAGUCCACAAUUCUUAAGUCUGUGAUAACAUUCCUAAACCAAAUAGCUUGUAAUGUAGUCUCGUAACAUGCAAUAUGAUUCAAAAUUCCUUUCAAAUACCUCAUAAUCUUUUUUAGCAGCCUUCCAAUGCUCAAUGCUUGGAUUACUUUAAUACUUGCCAAGUAAUCCAAUGGCAAAAGUAAUAUCCGGACGUAUGCACGUCUGUGCAUACAUAAGACUACCAACUGCAGAGGCAUAGGGUAUGCUUUUCAUCUGUUCAAUUGAUUCUUGAGACACUGAAAAGCAUUAAGCUUAUUCCCUUUCUGGACAGGAGCAACAUUGGGCUUACAAUUAUACAUUUCAAAAUUUUUCAAAACUUUCUUUAUGUAGGCUUUUUGAGAUAAACCGAAUAAACCUUUAUGUCUAUCCCUUUUGAUUUCAAUACCAAGAACAUAUGAGGCCUCACCUAAAUCUUUCAUUUCAAAAUUUUGGAAAAGAAAUUCUUUAGUGUUAUGCAAUAGCCCAAGAUCAUUACUGGCAAGCAAAAUAUCAUCAACAUAAAUGAUUAAGAAAAUUAUUUUACUCCCACUAACUUUUAGAUAAAUACAUUGAUCAACAAUGUUUUUUUUAAAACCAAAGGUCAAAAUAAUUUGUUUAAAUUUUAAAUACCAUUAUCGGGAGGCCUGCUUUAGUCCAUAUAUUGAUUUCUUUAAUUUGUAUACCAAGUGCUCAUUUCCUUUUUGCAAGAAUCCUUAAGGUUGAUUCAUAUACACCUCUUCAUAGAGAUUUCCAUUUAAAAAAUCAGUUUUGACAUCCAUCUGAUGUAGCUCGAGAUUAAAAUGAACAAUCAGAGCCAUAAUAAUACGGAAAGAUUUCUUUCUAGAAAUUGAAGAGAAAGUCUUUUUAUAGUCAAUACUUUCUUUCUGAGUAAAUCCUUUUACCACAAGACGGGCCUUGUAUCUCUCUAUGUUAUCUUUGGAGUCCCAUUUAAUUUUAUAAAUCCACUUGCAUCCUACGGGUUUAACUCCUAUAGAUAACUCAACAAGAUCCCAUACCUUAUUGUGGUUCAUGGAUUCAAUCUCAUCCUUCAUGGCAUUGUAUCAUUCCGUAGAAUUAUUACUAUUUAUGGCUUCGGAAAAAUUAAGAGGAUCAUCUAAACUCUGGCCAUUCUCAUAAAGAUAGACAAUAUAAUCAUUGGAUAUAGCCGGUCUUCUCUGUCUUGAGGAUCUUCUUUAAUCUAUCUGAUUAUCCACAUGUACAUCUUGAUGUGGAUUAUUCACUUGUACAUCUUGAUGUAAAUUAUCAACUUGUACAUAUUGAUGUGAAUUUUUCACUUGUACAUCUUGAUGUGAAUUAUCAAUGAUAGGUUCAUAAUGAUUUUGUGGUUUCAGAACGAUUUGUUGUUCUACUGGAAUAGGAAUCAUCAAAUCAUGAGGGAUAAUAAUGGGUCUGUCAAGUACAAAAUCCGAAUGCUCUUUAAUAUCCUCAAAUUCAAUGAACCGAGGUUCAGAGCUUCCACUAAUUGCACCAUCCUCAAUAAACUGUGCUGUUUUAGUUUCUGCAAUCUUUAUAGGAAGUGAUGGACAGUAAAAUUUAUACCCUUUGGACCUUUCUGAAUAACCAAUAAAAUAUCUUGAUAUGGUUCGAGGGUCCAAUUUCUUUAUUUGUAGAUCAUACAAUUUGGUCUCAGCUUGACAACCCCAUAUAUGAAAAUGUCUUAAAUUGGAUUUUCUACCUGUCCAAAGCUCAAAAGGAGUCUUAGUGACAGCCUUACUAGGGAUCCGGUUAAGAAUAUAUAGGGCAGUUUUGAGUGCCUCACUCUACAAUGAUAUUGGAAGGGUAGAAUUACUGAUCAUACUCCUGAGUAUAUCAAUUAAUGUGCUGUUCCUUCUUUCUGCAACACCAUUCUGAUCAGGUGUUCCUGGUAUGGUGUACUGUGGAACAAUUCCGUUCUGCUCUAGAAACUUAGUAAAAAGCCCAGGGAUUUGGCCUUUAUCUAUUUGUCUACCAAAAUAUUCACCACCACUAUCUGAUCUGACUACUUUUAUCCUUUUCUCGAGUUGAUUCUUUACUUCAGCCUAAUAUACCUUGAAGGCAUCUAAUGCUUCAGAUUUUUCUUUAAGCAAGUAGAGAUAGCCAUAUCGAGAGUAGUCAUCAGUAAAUGUGAUAAAAUAUUUAUGGCCAGUAAUUGAUAGAGGAAGAGGUCCGCAUAUAUCGGUAUGAAUCAACUCUAAUGUUCCAUCACAUCUUUUAGCACCUUUAGAAGAGGUUUUGGUCUGCUUUCCCUUUAUGCAGUCCACACAAAUAACAAACAGAGAAGUCCAAAUCAUCUAAAAUGCCUUCUCUAAUUAAUCUUUGGAUUCUCUGUUUCGAGAUGUGUCCUAACCUCUUAUACCAUAAUAUGGAUGACCUUUCAUUAUUAAUGCCACAUUUUGAUCCAACAUUUUCAUGCAUGAUAAGAAGGAUUUUACUAUAUGAAUCGUCUAAAAAUACUUUAUAUAGAUUGUUUUUCAAAACACCAGAGCGAACUAUCUGAGAUUUAUAGGAUAACGAAAAAACUUUAUUAUCAAAAUUGAAACUAUAUCCCAAUCCAACAAGUUUCGAAAUAGAAAUUAAAUUCUUAGAAAAAUUUGGAACAUAAAAUGUUUCAACUAAAUCCAAAAUGUGACCAGUGGAAAGAACUAAUCUAAAUGUUCCUACAAAUUUUUUUUUAGUUGGAUUUCCUUCAGCUGUAUAGAUAGUCGCUUCACCUUUACUGCGUUUCUGCGAUUCUGAAAUCCUUACACACUACAACAAAAAUGGUCUAUAGCGACACUUUUAAAUGUAGGUACAUGUAAAAAAAGUGCUGCUAACUAAAAUUACCGACACUUUUAAAAAGUGUUGCUAUAUGUGGGGUCGCUAGGUAUAUAGUGAUAGUUAAAGAGUGUCGCUAUAACCUAAAAGAGUGCUACUAAUUAAGCAACACUUAUUUAAGCAUUUAACAACCGCCGAAACUCUAUCUCGUCGGCUGCGGUGGCGGAGGAGGACGACAUGAAAGGCUCUUCGUCUAGAAUUUCAGUGGAUUGAGUGAAGAGAGAAAAAAAGAUGAUAAUUGAUUUUUCUUUUUUUUUUUUCUUUUCUGUUUGUAAUCGGGCCAAAUGGACUGGGUGUGGUGGGUUGAGUAGAGUAAUCUUUUAUUUUUGGUUGAUUGGGCUUUAUAUAUAGGCAUUAGUAGAUAUUUUUUUAAGUUUUAGGAUAAAUGGGACACUUAUUUAAAAGUGUCCCAACAUGUGUCCCUAUAACCUAAUUCUGUUGUAGUGGGAAUUCGCCACGUGACAUGUGGCACCAGAGUCAAUCCACCAAGUAUUAGACGGAACACAAACUAAAUGCAACUCAUGCAUCAAAAUCAGAAACUUACCUUUCUUCUAUAGCCAUUUUUGAUACUUUUGGCAGUCCUUCUUUAUAUGACCAUUUUUCUUACAAAAGAAGCACUUUGGAGUCCAAUUACUUUAUUUGCUUUGUGAACCAGAUGGAAUUUUCUUGUUUUUUCUUUAUAUGACCUUUUUUAUUUGUCUCUUUUGAGAAACAAAGUUAACUGCAUUUUGUUUCUCUUGCAUUAAUCUGCCUUCCUCUUGCACACACAUGGUCAGUAAUUCAUUAAUUGACCAUUUAUCUUUAUGUGUGUUAUAAGAGAUCUGAAAUGGUCCGUAUUCAGAUGGCAAAGAGUUCAAAAUAAAGUGUAUUGAGAAUGAAUCAGAGAUGGUUACUUCAAGUGCAGUGAGUUGCGCUGCAAUAUCUCGCAUUUCCAUAAUAUGCUCGCAAAUCGAGCCAUUUCCGGAGUAUUUCAUGGAAGACAGUUUAUUCAUUAAGGUGCUUGCCAAGGCUUUAUCGGAGCUUACAAACUGCUCCUCAAUGGCCUUUAGAUAAUCCUUGACUUUAUCACAUUCUGGGAUUGAUCCCCUUAUACUUUUUGAUACCCUUGACUUUAUGAGUAUCAAACUUAAGCGAUUGGAUCGCUCCCACUUUUCUUGCGCGGAUUCCUGCUGUGGAGUUAUUGUCCCCACUACCUUAAACAGUUGCUCAGCGCGCAAAGCCAAAUCUAAAUCAUAUAGCCCAAAAUAAAUAUGAUCUGUUCUUUCCACUCCAAAUAAUUAGAACCAUUAAGUAUAGAAACAUAUUCUCCAAUAGAAACAAAAGAUGGAGUCAUAGCUGAAAAUAAAAUGCAUGUUUUAUCAAUAAAAUACCACAUCAAAAAUUACCACACCAAAAUUAGAAAAAUACACUUUAUAUGACCUCACAAUCCCUCCUUUGGGAGCAGAGUUAUGAACAUAAAUAUUUUUCGAUCCUUAUGUAUAUACUUUAUAUGACAUCACAACCCCUCCUUUGGGAAUAGAGUUAUGAGCAUAAAUAUGCAAUCAUUCCUUAUGCAUAUACUUUAUAUGACAUCACAACCCCUCCUUUGGGAGCAGAAUUAUGAGUAUAAAUAUGCAAUCUCUUUAUCAGAGACUAAUUAAACUUUCUGCCGGUCGUAGUAAUUUCAAAUUUUUCAUAAUAAAAAAAUUGUCAGCUUUGGCCAGGCAAAUUUCUCCAAACGAGUUAUAAGAAAAUUACCAUCCUACACCACCCAUUUAUCUUCAUAUCUAGACUUCCUUUGGGAGCAGACUAAACAUAAUAUCAGGGUGCAAUUUUCGCAUGCACUUCUUUAAAGCAAUUAAUUUAUCUUUUCUUCCGGUCGGGACCGCUUUGGCUUGCACCCGUUCAGUUGAAGUAAUAAAUUAAUCUGACUUAGUGCUGCAUGAUUAACAUGAAAAUUAUCCGUAACCGCUACUUUAAAGUAAAUUAAAUCAUUAUUUCUUUCAAUUAGGGCCGCUUUGGCUUGCACCUAACUAAUCGAAAUAAUAAAUUAAUUCAACUUAGCGCCAAAUAUUAAAUAAUCGAAAACAAUUAUGAUUAUUUAAUUUUUAUGUUCAUCCGGUCAAAAUAAGAAUAUAGAUGCGAUAAUUUAAAUCAUAAUAUCGCAAUCAAAUUUAAACUUUAUAUAUUCUAAUUUGACCACAAAAAGAUAAAUAGAUUUAUAAUAAAAUUAAUAUUGUAUGCAAAAUUGAAACCUUAUGUGAACGGAUUCUAUAUGUUCACGAUAAUUUAGUAAGUACGAGGAUCAAAUUAUGCAGAAUAAUAGAUUAAAUCAGGCCUAAUAAAUAUUAGUCUGCCAUAGAAACCAACUAAUGCCAUAGAAACCAACUAAUUAAUUAAGCUUUGACUAUAAUGCAUAUGAAGUCCAAUGCAAUCGUAGUAUGUUGCACCUUAUUAUUAACCCAAUUCAAAAGAUUAUCGAUCAUCCAACAUGAUGGUCACGGUUCCGCGCCGCAUGUGAGCACCAAUUAAUUCCGGACUACAGCCAUCUCCGAAUCAUCAAACUAAUUAAUUAGGUUUCGGCUAUAAAACCCACGCGCUCCCGGAACGCAACACUAAUUGAUAGUCUUCGACCGAUAACAAGGCACGAAUAUUCCAAAGCACGCGCGGAACCUAACACUAAUUAAUUAGCUUCCGGAUAUAAACAUGCACGAAUACGACGCGCCCGAAACAUGCUUGACAAUCCUAAUGCAUGAUCGAUCGAGAACAACAUAACGCUAUGACGUCCUUAUGCGUGGCCGAAACACGCUAUCAUCGUCAAAGCGUAUUUCGUGCGCAAUAUUUCAAAGUGAUAAAUUGAUAUUGCAUACAAUAUUAAUUUACUAUUUUUGGCUCUGAUACCAAUUGAUAGAUUUUAUAGGUAUGUAAAAUAAGACCGAAAAUAAAUACAUACCAAAAUCCAGGAUCAAAAUUAAAAUAAGAUAACUCACAUAGCGUCAUCGAGAAGAAAUUUCUGUCUGUGAAAGUGUGAAGUCCGGCUAUGAUUUGAAAGUUACGAACCGAACUUGGGUGAUUUGGUUUCUCCUUCUAUCUCAAGCACUCCACUGUAUGGUAUGGAGUAUGAGAAGGUGGCAGGACCAAUACCCCUUUAUAUAAAGUCCAGAUUGACUUCUCAUCAAAGUCUGAUUAUGAUUCUAUUUAAAUUUAAAAUACAUAAGAUAAAGAUAAAAUAUACCAUAUCAAAUAGUUCUAUAUCUAUGUAUCACAGAAUCGAAGCUGAUAAUGUCGAUUUCCCUUUUAUUUUUUGAUUGUCUCCAGGAGUUGCAGUCGAUGAACGUCGUUCCACGUUUGACGUUAACGGAAGCAUGAUUUCUCUGAGGUUGAUCGGACGAGGCAUACAUUUUUCGCCAUAAAGUUGGGCCGUGACGUACCGAUCGUAGUCACAAAUUUGACGUUCGAGACCACUUCAGCAAAGCUGAAAAAAGAAGUUUUGAAUACAUAAAUAUAUGUACAGCAAAAAUGUUUCUGCGGACAAAAACUCUGAAACUUGUUAUUCGUGACCCUUAACGGAAACGAAAUUGUAAUUCGUUUGCUGAUCAGUAAUCUGUAAAAAUCUGCGAAAUUUUCGAGAGGGGUAUAGAGAUUACUAACAAUUUUCUUGCCCUUUUCUUGGCUAAAAUGUCUUAGUGUUUGCAGAUUAUGGAACUUUGCACUUUACCCUGGACGAUGUGAAAAUCUUUAUUUUAUCAUAAGGACGUAUUAUUAAAUAAAAUAGCCAAGUGAAUUUUCCUUUACAAAAGAGUGGAAUACAUAUAACAUUUCACUCUCCUAUAAUUUACACUUUUUGCAUUCUAAUUGUCUUAUUGGAUCAUCGUUUAUUACAAGGACGUUUAAUUUAAAUUGUACAAAUUUCGGCAAGCUAAGGGACCAGAAAUUAAUUUUCAACACUCAUAAGAUUUUAGCAUGAAAACAAUGCAUUUCUGAUCCAAGCACAUAAUAGUAAUAAUGUUAUAAUAUCCAGUAUUUAUUGUGUCUGGAUUGGACUGUAAUUUGCUAGGUGUUCCAGUUCCAUGAAGAAUAUAUCAUAUAUCGCAUAUUAACAAUAAAAUCAGCAAAUUAAAAGAUGAUUAAAAUAGACUAAUUCUUAUAGUACAUGAUGAACUUAAUUUGGUUAUUAUAUUUUGUGUUUGGUCACCUACAUUGAAGGAUGUUUGGGUUGCCACCACCAAUAGACAUGAGGGAUUUCCUUGGAAACUGAAUAUUAAUAGGUACAUAGAAAGGAUAAACUUAAAUCUGUUUACUAGUGGUUUAACUCCUUUUUUAUUUUAUCAUUUUAUGGUUUAAAAAGUUAUCCUUAACUACAACAUGAUUUAGCUUAUUUUUACUUUACCACGUAAUAAUGAUUCAAAAGUUAUACAUAAUUAUUCUGUGUGUCGGAUCGUUGGCGCUAACCAUUAAUCCCAAAAGCUCGAGCUAUUAGAAAUACACAACCAAUUCACUUAAAGCAUAUAGAUACAGCGCCCACGGGUCUCGAUUGUGACUCGGCCCAUCUGGCCUCGUGCCACUUCGAACAUGACUCGGUCAAAUCCAGCCUCACGCCAUUUCGAAUAUGACUCGGCCCACAUGGUCUCUCGCCAAAAGCCAGGAUGCUGACUCAUUUAAACCAACACUGUAGUCAUAAAAAAAUUUCACUUUACCAUCUUAUUUCAUAGUAAGUUUUUUGAAUAAAAAUAGAGAUAAAAUUAUAGAUAAUUAAGUGUAAAUUUUUGAACUAUAUAGUUGCAAAUUAAAAUAAACUAAUCCACAAGAGGGGCAAAUUAAAAUUUAUCUUAAAAAAAAAAAAAUACUAAGUUUACAAUCCAAAGAGAUUGUAAUCCUACAAUCCCUUAUCCAUCCGAGGGGUUGUAGGAUUGACCAAUCCUCUGUUGGGUUUUAGUUAGUUAAAAAAAAAAAAAAAAAAAAAAAAGACUAUAAAGACAAGGAGGAAAAAGAUCUUUGGAUGAUAAGAGUUGUAAAAAAGUAUCGUAGACCAAACAAAGCUUAAAAAAAAAAACCAAGGAUAAACUUUAGAUUGACCCUGUGAUUUAGCUCACAUUUAAUUUGGGACUCCGUAUUUUAAAAAGUUGCAAUUCUGCCAUUGCAGUUUAAUUUUAUUUCACCAAAAAUUUUAUGCAAGUAGGAUGACAAAAUAAAACAAUUUAAGAAAUCACGGGAUGACAAAAUAAAAAAUAUGCUAAACAGUAGAAAGAUAAAUUGCAAUUUUUUGAACCACAGAGUGACAAAAUAAAAAUGAACUAAACCGCAGGAGGCAAAAUACAAUAUUUUAAAUUACGGAUAACAAAGUAAAAAUAAAAUUAAAUCACAAAGAAGAUUUACAACCGCUGAAUUUUAAAACGUAUAUAUUUUUAACUAUACAGUAUUUAUAAUAAUAUUCAAACCAAAGUGUGAAUGUAAAUCAGAAUUUUUUUAGCUACAUGGUUAGGAGAGCUGUCAAAUUCAAAAUCACCAUCAAACAGAGAGAAACUAAGCUCAGUCCACAGUGUGGCCCAUUGAUGGGGCGUAGUUUGGUGUUUGUUGAUUAAUUAAAUUAAGAAAGCGACUUGAAGUCUUCACGUUGACGAGUAAACAAAAAAAAAAAACAAUAAUAAAAAGAAGAACCGAGGCUGACUACAAGGGAUAAAAACAAAAGAACAAAAAGAAAAUUUGAUUUUCGCCUUCUUGAUUUAUUAUAUUUUAUUAUGAAAAAUAUUUUGAAAUCCUGCAUUUGGAUACUUUUCUAUGUUAUUAACUAUACUGUAUUUAAUUAUAAUUAUAUCCUAUCAAAUUAUUUUUAUUAGUGUAAAUGUCACUUAGAAUUUCUUUAGUUAAAUAGUUACACGAGCAUAGCUGUUCAAUUCAAAAUCACCAUCAAACAAAUACAGAAAAGGGCUUAUAGAUAGUGUGGCGUCCCGUGGUAUAGCUUUGAUCAUAGCACUUACGAUCUGCAACAUACUAUUAUUCUUUCUCUCUAAAUAAAAAAAAAAUUGUAAUUGAAUAACUACGACUAAAUCAAUCUAAACACUCUCGUAGUGCAAAUAAAACUCAAUUUUCUUAGAUAUGAAAAAUAUUGGUAGAGCUGUUCAAUUCAAAAUCAUGAUCAAAGUGGAGAUUGAUGGAUAAUGUGACACAUUAACAUAGUGUAUUUUUGGUUAGAAGUUAUGAUUCACAACACAUAAGUAUUUUUUUUCUCGCUCUCAAAUAAAAAUUGUGAUCGAGUAACAACUAUAUCAAUUCAAACACUCUCUUUUAGUAUAAAUGAAACCUAAAAUUUUUUAGCUGAAAAUGUCGGUAAAACUGUCCAAUUCAAAAUCGCGGACAAAGUGGGGUUUGCCAAACAGGGUGACCCAUUCACGUGGUCGUAGUACUAUAUGCAAUUAUUCCCUUUCUCUCUCUCAAAAAAAAAAAAAAUAGAAAAAUUCCAAAUGCCCAGUGUAAAUGGAAUCCAAGAAAAGAUUCACGUGGCGUAGUACUAUGUAAUUAAAGUACUAUGUUGAAUAAAUUUUUUUUUUUUUUUAAUUGACGCUACCCAAAAAGCUAAUUAGGAUUAAAAUUUUAUUUUAAUUAAUUUUCGAAAUUUUAUUUUUUUGUAAUUUUCUUUUAGUGAUCUUUUUUAGAUUUUUAGAAUUUUUCUAUAAGGAAUAAAAUUUUAAAACUUAGGAAUGUGAUUUUAGAAGUUUUAAAUUAGAAUUAGAUAUAUUUAUAAUAUUAGAAAAAUUGAUAAAUUUUAGGAACUUGAUUUAUAGUAGGAUUCAAAUAUUGCCUCUAUAUAAACGUGGCUUUUGAUUUGUGUAAUUAGAGAAAUUUACAGAUUUUGAGAAUUAAUUACUAAGACUUUCGUUUUUGACAAAAAAAAAUUGGUUUUUCGUGUGCCAUCUUUUUCUGUGCUUAUGCUUUUUCCCUCGGAACUGGCCUUUAGCUAGCCUACAUAAAAAAUUAAGUUAAUUAAUCAGAAAAAUCAAAUGAAAAAUUGGAACUUAAAAGAUAUGUCAAUUAAACAGAAAACGAAGCAAAGUCUUUUUUAGAUUUACCAAUACUUGAGGGGUAUCUGUACACUUUUAUUUUAUAGAAAUCAUCAGGUACGCAUCACUAGAAAGAACGGACGGUUAUGAAGUCUCCUAAUACAUAAAUAGUUUUUAGUAAAAUAUAAAAAUAGAAUGCGCUUUUGCUCAAAACCCCCUAUACGAUUGGUCUGCUUAAAACGGCCUAAAGUACUCUUUUGCAAUUUUCCGAAAACUGAGGAGGCCAACGGCUGCCCUCAGUUUACGAUUGGUCCGCUUAAUACCUCCGUCCAUGCUCCGUUGGUUAAAAAAAAAUUACACUUUACUCCUAUGUAGUUUAGCUUAUUUUUAUUUUUGCAGUGGUUCAAAUCAGGGACGAAGUCAGAAAUUAAGAUUCGGGAGGCUAAGAUUUAGAUUUGAUAGAAAAAAAUUCAACAUCGGAUAGUAAAAAAAAAAGUUUGUUAGAUUCAUUGGUCAUCUAUUGCUAUCAAUAAUAGUGUAGUGACAAUGUGUUCAAAGAUGAGCAAGACUGUAAGAGUUAAAGAAAAAAAGCCAAGGGGUUCGGAAAAAAAAAUUAGAAUACAAAUUUUAUUAAAAAAAAUUAAUUUGGCCCCCUAAAAAAUAAAUUUGUAAUAUUUUAAUUUUUUUACUAUAAAAAACUUUUAUGUAAUGUUUAAUAAAAGUUUAGAAAGGACAAUGACCACUGCAGGCUUCUUAAUGGCUCCGUUUCUUGUUCAAAUAUAUAAUUAUACUUUGCCAAUCAUAACUAUUAUGCGGUUUAAUAUAUUCUUUACUUUACCACCACGUUGUUUUUUCUAAAUUUUUACUUUGUCAUCAUGCUAUUUGGCAUAAAAAGUUUUAGAAAAAUAAAAAUUAAACCAUAAAGAGAUAAAAUACAACUCUUUGAGCUAAGACGGUAAUGUAAAAACCCGUUAUACCAUAAGGUAGCGUUUGGCUCGAAAACAGGAGGGAAUAAGUCCUUAUUCCCUCCUUUGUUCCCAAAUGUGAUGUUUGCUCCCCAGGAGCAAUAGUUUUAGAGUUUCAAGGACAAGCUGGUAUAAAACUGGAACUGCUGUUCCACCCUCUUCCUGAAACAAGCUUGUUUCUUAAUGAGAAAAAAAGUUCAUUAAAAUCUAAAUUUAAUUUUAAUAGCAGUAAAUUAUUAAUUAAUCUAAUUAAUAUAUUUAAAUUAUUAUUUAUUACUUUAAUAAUUAAAUAAUUAAAUAAUUUAUUAUUUAUAAUUAAUUACUAAUAAUUAGAUAAUUAUUAUAAUUAAUUAUUAAUAAUUAUUAAUAAUUAUUAUAGUUAAUAAUUAGAUAAUCGAUAGUAUUAUUAAUUUAUUAUUUAUAAUUAAUUAUUAAUAAUUAUUAAUUAGACAAUCGCUAUUAUUAUUAAUUUAUUAUUUACAAUUAAUUAAUAAUAAUAAUAAUAAUUUAUUAAUUAUUAAUAAAUAUUAAUAAUUAUUAUUCUCAAUAAUUACAUAAUAUAUAUUAUUAUUAAUUUAUUAUUUAUAAUUAAUUAUUAAUAAUUAAAUAAUAAUUAUUAUUAGUUUAUUAUUUAUAAUUAAUUAUUAAUAAUUAAUAAUAUUUAUUAAUUUUUUAUUAAUAAUUAUUAAUAAUUAUUAUUCUUAAUGAUAAUCGAUAUUAUUAUUAAUAAAAUUAGAUAAUUGACAUUAUUUUUAAUUAAUUAUUAAUUAUUAAUAAUUGUUAUUUUUUAUUAAUAAUUAUCAAUUAUUAUUAUUAUUAUUAAUUAGAUAUUCAAUAUUAUUAAUUUAUUAUUUAUAAUUAAUUAUUAAUAUUAAUUUAUUAUUUAUUUUAAGUAAUAUUUUGAUAUUAAUUAAUUACAUAAUAUAAUUUUAAUUUUAAAUUAUAACUCUUAUUUUUUUUUAUUCUAAACUAGCCAUCUAAAUACUAUUUAUCUUAAUUUUAAGAAUAAUCUAAUUUUUAUUCAAAUAUAAAAUUAGUCUAAUUACUAUUUAUAUCUGAACUUGUAUUUAUCUCUUGCAAUGUGUACUUAACUUCUUCUUCUUCUUCGGCGGCUUAACUUCUUUGGGCGGGGGGAGGACGGAUAAUUAAAAGCCAAGGACAGAUGAUUAAAAGCCAAUCUUGCCUGGUGUUGACUGCUCUUACUUGGAAAAUAGCCCACAUUUUUUUUUUUUGUCUGUUUCGCUUAAAGCGAGUCUCCUGUGAGUAGAAAGACCUAUAUGAUAGCCGCUGCAGUUGUAGGUGCUGAGGCAGAGAAAGCAUCAAUAUAUAUACUACUAUCCUGUAAAUCACAGAAGAGGAAGAAGAAGAAGAAGAAGAAGAAGAAGAAGAAGAGAAUAAGAUCAAACCAGUAUGUCUGAGCCCCAGCGAGAACGUAUGGACUAUGAGUUGCUCGAGGCGUUGAGGAGAGGGGACGAGAGAGUCGUUAGAACAUUCUUUUCGCAGGAUACAGAAUCUUCUGGAUUUACCGCCGGCAGAAACUCCGCCCUCCACAUCGUGGCUGGUUGCGGACACCUGGGGCUCGUGAAGUUCAUCUGCGACAAAGAGAGCUUCCUUUUGACGGCGCACAAUAUGGCAGGCGAGACGCCGCUGCACUGCGCUGCGUGGGCUGGGGCUGACCGAAUUGUCUCCUACUUCAUUUCUGUUGCCGCGGAGAGCCACCUGCUGGAACAGCUGCUGCUCGCCAAAGACUGGGACGGGAAGACUGCCCUGUACGCGGCUGCCAAAGAAGGCCGUGUGGCGGCGGCGAGAGAAUUGUUGUCUAAACUUCCUAAUCAGCAGGCGGCUGCCGUCGACAAGAAAGGUGUAUCGCCGCUUUAUGUUGCUGUGCUGUCGGGAUCGCUCAAAGUUGUUCAGAUUUUGAUAGAAUCCCCCGCCGACGCGCCUUAUGGUGGACCGAACAGGCAAACAGCGCUGCAUGCAGCCACCAUGAUCAAAAACCCCGGUAGUUAACAUGCAACGUCUCAUGCUCUAAUUUUUACAUGCUUGUUGCUUGGACAAAAUAUCAAAAUGGGAUAAUUACUUUUAUAUAUAUAUAUAUAUAUAUAUAUAUAUAUAUAUAUAUAUAUAGCCCUUNNNNNNNNNNNNNNNNNNNNNNNNNNNNNNNNNNNNNNNNNNNNNNNNNNNNNNNNNNNNNNNNNNNNNNNNNNNNNNNNNNNNNNNNNNNNNNNNNNNNNNNNNNNNNNNNNNNNNNNNNNNNNNNNNNNNNNNNNNNNNNNNNNNNNNNNNNNNNNNNNNNNNNNNNNNNNNNNNNNNNNNNNNNNNNNNNNNNNNNNNNNNNNNNNNNNNNNNNNNNNNNNNNNNNNNNNNNNNNNNNNNNNNNNNNNNNNNNNNNNNNNNNNNNNNNNNNNNNNNNNNNNNNNNNNNNNNNNNNNNNNNNNNNNNNNNNNNNNNNNNNNNNNNNNNNNNNNNNNNNNNNNNNNNNNNNNNNNNNNNNNNNNNNNNNNNNNNNNNNNNNNNNNNNNNNNNNNNNNNNNNNNNNNNNNNNNNNNNNNNNNNNNNNNNNNNNNNNNNNNNNNNNNNNNNNNNNNNNNNNNNNNNNNNNNNNNNNNNNNNNNNNNNNNNNNNNNNNNNNNNNNNNNNNNNNNNNNNNNNNNNNNNNNNNNNNNNNNNNNNNNNNNNNNNNNNNNNNNNNNNNNNNNNNNNNNNNNNNNNNNNNNNNNNNNNNNNNNNNNNNNNNNNNNNNNNNNNNNNNNNNNNNNNNNNNNNNNNNNNNNNNNNNNNNNNNNNNNNNNNNNNNNNNNNNNNNNNNNNNNNNNNNNNNNNNNNNNNNNNNNNNNNNNNNNNNNNNNNNNNNNNNNNNNNNNNNNNNNNNNNNNNNNNNNNNNNNNNNNNNNNNNNNNNNNNNNNNNNNNNNNNNNNNNNNNNNNNNNNNNNNNNNNNNNNNNNNNNNNNNNNNNNNNNNNNNNNNNNNNNNNNNNNNNNNNNNNNNNNNNNNNNNNNNNNNNNNNNNNNNNNNNNNNNNNNNNNNNNNNNNNNNNNNNNNNNNNNNNNNNNNNNNNNNNNNNNNNNNNNNNNNNNNNNNNNNNNNNNNNNNNNNNNNNNNNNNNNNNNNNNNUACUUUUAUAUAUAUAUAUAUAUAUAUAUAUAUAUAUAUAUAUAUAUAUAGCCCUUAAAAUUUCAAAAAUAUCUAAUUUAUCUUUACUUUUUUUUUUUUGUUUCUAAUAUAUACCUCAUAUGUUUAUCCGUUAUUUAAAAAUUACCCCAUAGUUACCACCCAUUAAGUUUUCUUGGGCCGGUUAAACGUGAGUCAAAUAUCUAAAAGAGUUAAAAAAAUCAAAAUACCUUUUUGCCCUUAAUUUAAGAGCAAAUAAGAAAAAUUGGUGAUGGUAGAGGAGUAAAUUUGAGAAAAUAAAAAAUUAAAAUAUUUUUUUGCUCCUAAUUUAAGGGUAAAUAAGUAAAUUUGGUGAUUAUAGAAGAGAGUAUAUUUGAAAGGGCAAAAUAGUACUUUAGAGAUAACAGUUAUUGCUAACAGUUUACUAACGAAACUUAACUCUAGAGAUAUAUUUAAAAUAACUUGGAACGCAAAAAAAGUAUUUUUAAAAUUAACCUUUUAAGGGGGAUAAAUCAGAAAGUCAAAAACUUUUCCGGGGUGUAUAAGCAAUUACCUCUAUCAAAAUUAUGGAUCAUUUUGAAUAAACUAUUUAAUCUUUCAAUUUAUUUGAUUUGAGUAAAUCAAUAAUAUUUUAAUUUUAAAAUUUAAACAAAUUAUCUUAUUUUGAUAAAUUUAUAGUUGCGAAAAUUUUAUGAAAUAUGCUAAGUAAACUCUAUAAAAAUAAAUGAUGCAUUCAAAUUUUAAAAUAAAAGUGCCAUUGACCAAAAGAUGAUAUAAUUAAAUCAAAAUUUUUAAUGAUUGGGCAGCUAACUCAAAAUGAUUCAUAAUUUAGAUAAUUCGAUACACUUUUACAUAAUUAUUUCAUGAUACUUAAUUUCUUUUAUGUACUCAUAAUAUUAACAUAAAAAAUAAAUUGGUCUUUAUUAGUAAGCAUAUACGAGUAAUGAAGUGUGGGACCACUAUACUUUUGAAAAUAUAUAUUUCCAACUUUUGUGCACUUGGAUCCCAAUGAUUUUUAAGUUGGUGGUAGUAAAUUUAAGUUAAAAGUUGGUGCCCUAAAAAAAUAUAGUAACUUAAUUCUGGAAGUAAAUUUAAUAUUAAGACGAUUUUAAUAAAAUAAUUAAAUUAACAAACUAAUUAUUGGUCGAAAGGAUAGAUUAGAUUAAAGAGUGGAUUAGGAGUUAGGGAACAAUAGUCCUGAACUACUCGCAUGGUUUUUAGGGAACCAAACGUUUAUCACCAAAAUCAAUUUUAUCACUAACCGAAAAAACAUUUUUAUCACCAAAAUCUUUUUUUCGAGCCAUUUUAUACGGAACCAAUCGUGCUCUAAGGAGUGUUUGAUUUUUCAAAAAAUAUCUCAAAAAUAAUUUUCUGACUAAAAAUGUAUUUCUCGCAUGUUUGUUCUCUAGAAAAAACUAUUGUUUUCUGAAAUUUCUUUUUUAGAUUUUAAUGGAAAAGUAGUAUUUCUUUUUUUUUCCAAUUUUUUAUUCAGAAAAGAUAAACUAUGGAAAAGAGUUUUUUUUUUUUUUUUUUUUUUCAAAAACAAUUUUCCUGAUUUUUCACGAACCAACCACCCCCAAAAUAAUGAAUAUUUAAUUAAUUUAAUUUGAUUAGAAACCUAGUCACGAGGUUGAAUUAGGAUUAUAAUAUAUAUAAAUAAUGUACUAAGAAUUGCUACUUACACCCAAAAGUGAGUGCACAAAAACAAAAAAUCAAGAAAGAUAGUUUUAUUUUUAAAUUUGAAAAUUAAAAUAUUAAAAUUUUAAAUUUCAAACUCUAAGUUUCAAAUUAUAAAUCUCAAAUUUAAUGUAAAAUUUAAAAUUUAAGUUCAAUUUGAAAUUUGAAAUUUUAAAAAUUGAAAGGAAAUUGGAAUAUAAUAUUUUAAAUUUUAAUUUAAAAUUGAAAAUUUGAGAUUUAAUAUUUGAAAUAUAAAAUAUAAAAUAUAAAAUAUAAAAUUUGAAAUUUGAAAUUUAAAAUUUAAAAUUGAAUUUGAAAAUUGAAAAUUGAAAAUUAGAAUUUGAAAUUUGAAAUUUGAAAUUUGAAAUUUAAANAAUUAGAAUUUGAAAUUUGAAAUUUGAAAUUUGAAAUUUAAAACCUAAAGUUUGAAAUUUGAAAUUUAGAAUUUAGAAUUUAUAAUUUAAAAUUUAAAAAUUAAAAAUACAAUAUAAAAUUAAUUAUAUAUUUUAAAAUUUUAAAAUUUAAAAUUUAAUGUUUAAAAUUUAAAAAGUUCAAUUCAAAAUUUGAUAUUUGAAUUUAAUUGUGAAAUUUGACUCGAAAAUAAAAAAUUAAAUUUGAAAUUGGAACUCAAAAUUAGAAUAAGAUUUGAGGGAGUAAGUUUAAGCUGCUUUUGAUUUUGGGGACUAGCUUCAAAAUUAGAAAUCUAGUUCUAAAAAUCGUAAUAGAUUUAAAAAAAGAGAUUAUCAAGUGCUCAAUUAAAAAAAAAUUAUUUUUGGCCAUCAAAUCAUUUUCUCAAAGCAGGACAAACGCCCCUUUAGUGCAAGAGACAAUCGACUAAAAAUUUGUUAGGUAUUUUCACUUGAGAAUAGAGGAGCAUUUUGGUAAUAGAUGGUCAAUUAUGUUAAAGUUGAUUUAAAGUAUUUGAAGUCUAUAGAAUUGAAGUUUCAUAAUUUUUUGGGAUAUUUGGGUUCCACAACGUCGUAAAAACCUUGUGAAGUGACUCUUUAUUUCUUGUUUCUCUAUUUAUAUGUAGUUUUUUUCAUGUAAACUUAUAAUUCAUGUAAACUUCAAUUGCAGCAAUUGCAAGGAAACUGUUACAGUGGAAAUCAACACUUGCAAAGGAAGCUGAUGAAUCUGGAUGCACACCCCUUCACUAUUUAGCCCAAACUUCUAAAAGUUACAUGGUGUGUGAGCUUUUGAAACAUGACACUUCUUCAGCUUACGUCCCAGACGCUAAUGGAUUAUGCCCUGUACAUGUUGCUUCAAGCUGGGGGAGAAGUGAUAUAGUUCGUGAACUUAUUGGCCGUUGCCCCGAUAUGGACGAGUUAGUUGAUAAUGAAGGAAGGAAUUUUCUCCAUGUUGCUGUAGUACACAAUAGAGCAGAGAUAGUUAACUUCGUUUGCCAGAGACCAUUGCUCGUGAAAAUGAUGAAUGCAGAGGACAGCAAUGGAAAUACACCGCUACAUCUUGCUGUGGCAUCCGAGAACCAUCGUAUAAUGAGUCUUCUAUUGGAAAACAAAAGUGUGCACCCAAGAAUUAUAAACAAGAAUGGUCAAACACCUCUAGGUCAUGAAAGAAGAUGGCAUCCAAAAUCACCCCCGCCGCCAAAUCCAUCACCGCCACUGCCACCGCCAUCGCCAGCGCCAGCAUCACGGCCGCCGCCGCCCCCGCCGCCGCGGGCGUCGUCAGCGUCGUCGUGGGAGUCGCUGCCGUCGUUGUCGCCGCCGCGGCCGGAGCCGCCGAAGCGGCGGAGGCUUCUACCGAUUGUAAGACAAUAUCCCUUCCCUACAGUCUUUAAUUUUCAACUAGUAUUCCAAUGGUUUAACUUAGAAUUCAUUGCUUACUAAUCCUNGAAAGAAGAUGGCAUCCAAAAUCACCCCCGCCGCCAAAUCCAUCACCGCCACUGCCACCGCCAUCGCCAGCGCCAGCAUCACGGCCGCCGCCGCCGCCGCCGAAGCCGGGGCCGGAGCCGCCGAAGCCGGCGCCGCCGCCGCCGCCGAAGCCGGAGCGGCCGCCGGCGCCGCGGCCGCGGCCGCUUCUACCGAUUGUAAGACAAUAUCCCUUCCCUACAGUCUUUAAUUUUCAACUAGUAUUCCAAUGGUUUAACUUAGAAUUCAUUGCUUACUAAUCCUUAAAAUCUACUUGGACUAGCAGCUUGUUGCGCUUAAAUUAUCAGCCCAAAAUAUUUUUGCACCCAAAUUGUUAGUAGUAGAGUACUUAAUACUUUGAUAGUCAAUGUUAAUUCCUUUCCAAUCCACUACAGGAUUUUUCUAGUGUCAUGAACUUAGACUUGAAUUUUUCAUCAAAUUAAGGGUUUGAUAAUGUUAUUCGGGGUGGGGGUGCUUGAGAUUGAAUUAAUCUAUAUGGCUAGUUUAAUAGUAUUUAGAGAUCGGCUGACAUCAUAAGGGUACAUUUGGUUUACGCUACCUUUUUAAAAUUUAUAGUAAUUCAAUAUUAAUAAAAAAAUAUGACGAUAUUUGACUAAACGCAUUAAGUAACCUAGUUGGUAAUAUUAAAUUUAUUUGGGAAUGAGAUUCCCAAAAUAUUAAUUUUAUUCUCUUGAAGGAGGGUGGAUAUUAUCAUAUUAAUAGAUUGGGGUAAUCAUAAUAUGUCUAAUAUCUUUCUUUCUUCCUACCCGCCGGCUAGUUGGUAUUAUUUUUUUUUAUACUCUAACCUCAUAUCUCUCUCUAAAUUUAUCUUUUUUUCUAAAUUUAUCUUUUUUUCUCUCUGAACAAAGCUCUCUCUCCCCCUCUUUUUCUAAAAUCUCAACUCUCUCAUUCCCUCUAAUAUCGACUCUAUUUCUCUUCCUACUUCUUUAAUUAUGUUCUCUCUCUAAUCUAUGUUCUCUCUCCCUGUUUUCUAAAAAGAUGUUAAAAUUUUUAGUAGCAUUAUCUAAAAUUAAUUAAAUAAAUAAAUUAAUUAAUUGUAUAUUUUUUGUAAACUUAAAUAACAUGACUAAAUAAUAUGACUGUACAAAUCAAACACAGAAAUGCCACAUUCUUAGUAAUAAGAUGAAUAGGAAUAGAAUUCUCGGACAUCUUUUUAUUCCUAGUAAUCUUUUAUAGUGCGUCACACGCGCCUUUGGACGAGGAGUUCCUGCGAGCCGACCGCUCUUCUCUACCAGCAUUGCCGAUGGUGCUCCAGAUUGGGUCUUGAUCCAAUCUAAAACGGUCUUCAUGUCGUCGGACAGCGUGGUGACCUUGGCGGCAAGGUCGGAUGGCGUUGCCAUCUGCUCGUCUGCAGACAUGGUAGAUGCACUCUUCGUUUUCCUGAUCGGUGGUUUGCGGAAAAUGUCGAGGACGGAGAAUUAUUCACUGAUAGCUUUGUAGACGCUUUUGGUUCGCACUAUACACCAGGAUCACAUGCUCUGAUACCACCUGAUCCGUCGGAAGAGGAAAGCAAUAUUGCAGCGCCUUCCCGAUGGAUAUCUAAAACUAGAUUAAAGAGAAAAAAAAAGAAAGAAUACAAUUUCUAUGUGGAAGAGUUUAUAUAUUAAUUCUCUUUAAAUUGGAGUGAUUUACAAGAGCUAGUAUGACACUAUUAUUAGCCUUUCGGUUUACAAGAAGAUAAGAAUAAAGUAUUUUAAAAAUAAUAAUUUUAGUCUUAUUCUAACCGAAGUAGUUGAAACUACUUUAAUUUUAUUCUAAUCGAAUUAGUUGGAAUCUUCUCGAUUCAUAUCUUAAUCGAAUUAGUUAGAAUCAUCUCGAUCCUUAUCCUAACUGAAUUAGUUGGACCACCUCCGCCUUAUCCUAACUGAAGUAGUUGGAACGGCCUCCGCUUUAUCCGCAACGAUUGAGACUUAUCCGGAUGGUUUGAUCGUACCGGAUCAGAGGGAAAGAGGAAAUGGUGGGGAGAAAUCAAAGAGAGUAGAGUUUUCUUCAGAAGGAUGUAAGAAAUUUGAAUGCAUUAAUUAAAAGGAAGGUGGAAAGGCAAAUAAAAGGUAGGUUAAGAGUUUCAAUCAAGGCGAGACCCACUCUCAAACAAAAGAAGGUGGUUAAAGACAAAAAAGGGUGUAGUAAAUACUAGCAGGUGGGCCCCACAACCAAGACUUAAGCUAAGCUUGCCUCAUGGACAAAAUUAGAGGGAUUAAUGUAGAGUUUAUAAAGAAAUCAAUUUAGUCUUCUAUAGAAGAAUACACAUGUAGAAGUGCUAAAUUAUGCUUUUGGCCCUCAAUCUAUGAGAUGCAUGACAUUUUAGUUCUUAUUUAUUACUAGUUAAGAGCUCACGCUUAGCAAUGGAUAGGCAUUGUUGAUGAUAAUUGUUGUGGUGGAUAUUAUAUUAUUGAUAAAUCUCAUCUCAAUUAGUGUUUAGAAUACAUAAAAAAUGACAUAACAAUCAUGAAAGAUUAACAAACUAUAAGUAAACCAUAUAGUAUAGAACUAACAUAUUUGAUUUAAAAAGUAUAUAAAAUAUAUAUAAACAAAUUAUUGAUUUUUUUUAAAAAUAUUCUAUAACACAAUAACUUUAAUUGUACUCUAAAUAAUGUAAAAAAAACAGAAAGGUAAUGAAAUUAUUUUACUUAUUUAAGUAAUUCUUACCACAAAUACGCAAUUGCAAUUCAAAAUAAAAUUUUUAUUACUUUAUUUUAUUUACUCAGUAAUUCUUACCACAAAUACACAAAAAAAUAAAUUAAAUAAUCAAAUUUCAAAGAGAAUUCACAUCAUUUCUAAUAAUUAUUUAGAGAUUAGAGCACAUAGAAUGAAAUAAUUAAGAUAAAAAAGAGAAAAGUUAGGUUUUUUUAGCAUUAAAAUUGGGCAUUUUAUUAAUUGAUUUAAUUGGCUAAUUUCAUAUAGAUUUGGAAACAACAAAAUGGGAUUACAAAGAAGAUCUCUCAAAAGAUCAAAACUUGAUUAGAUCGAAGAUGCCGCAACAAGCAACUCCAAAAAAUUGGCUUUUCUCUCACCUAUCAGUACAGACCAAUAAAUUGGCCUUAAUUAGCACAUACAGCUAAUAGCACACAAAGCUCUCCAAUAUGCAACGAUUGGUUAAUUAGAGUUGCGGCCUCUCCUCUUAGCCGUACGGACCUCACAACAAUCUAGACUUAAUUAGUGCAUGACUUCUUAAUUUCGUCGCGGCAAUUAUGAACUUGAUCGUAGUAUUUAUAUAUAUAAUACAUAUUUUCUAACUAGAGUUUAAUUCUAAUUCAAUUAGAAUUACACUCCUAAUUAUAUUCCAUAUAUAUCAAAUUAAAUCUAAUUCCAAUUAGAUUAUAAUUUAACUCCAAUUUAAGUAACUACAAAUCUAAACCAAAUAUAACACCUACAAAUUCAAGAUUGCAUAGAUACUUAAUGAGAUGAAAUGAAAAGCAAUGUAAAAAAAUAGUAAUAAUAAAAUAUUGAUGCACUCAAUGAACACCGGUGGAGGCUCCGCUCCGAGCCCACCACGAAGCCCUCUACUCUGAAUUGCACCCCCGAUCCCUGAUAGAAGAAUCAACUGAUCCCUGGUAGAAGAAUAUCAUCGUAAUGCACUCCUCGAACACCGGCGGGGCUCGAUAGUGCCACUAUCGGAGCCUUUCCCGCCGCCACCGUAGGCGGCGACAGCGCUACCAUGGGAGCUGUCAGAGUCGAGGUCGAGGUGCGUGGGGACCUUCGUUGGAGAAGGAGGCGGUAGGUGCGGUGGCAACGGGACGUGUCCAAUCCCGAGUAUCAUGGUACUAGUGCUUCUCCUGAAUAGGGGUUAAGGUUAAAGUUUAAAAGAGAGAGAGAGAGAGAGAGAGAGAGAGAGAGAGAGAGAGAGCGAGCGCGCGCGAAAAGGGAUGGAGGAUGGGGAAAGACAAUGGAUGAGGGAAGGUGGGGCUAAUAAUUGGGUUUAGGCUUUAGGAUUAUUAUUGGGAAGGAGAGAGAGGGGGAGGGUGAGAGAAAAAAAGCAAAUGCCCUUUCGAGAGAGGGAAGGUGAGAGAAAUGUUCUUUGGCCUUCUGAGAAGACAUUUAACAUUCUGGGAAGCGGGAUGUUGGGUGGGGUGAGGAGAGGAGGUCAAAGCAGGAGGAGUAAGGGGGAACGUGACACAUGGCACAAAGAGAGUGUCAAUUCAUAGUUUGUUUUGAAGGGAUGGGCGAUGCGGAAAGAGGAGGGAUGAGGGAAGGUAGGGGUAAUAAUUGAGUUUAGGUUUUAGGAUUAUUAUAGGAAAGGAGAGAGAGAAAGGGUGAGAGAAAAAAGGCAAAUGCUCUUUCGAGAGAGGGAAGGUGAGAGAAAUAUUCUUUGGUCUUUUCAGAAGCCAUUUAACAUUCUGGGGAGUAGGGUGGUGGGGUGGGGUGAAGGGAGAAGGUGAAAGCGGGAGGAGUAAGGGGAACGUGACACAUGGCACGAAGAGAGUGCCAAUUAAUAAUUUGUAUUGAUAAUUUUUGGCUUUAAAAACUUUAAUUUAUUAUAAUUUUUUGCUUGAACUUUAUAUAUUGUUAUAAUCAUGUCCUACAUUAAUUUAGUUAGUUGAAUGUUAAUAUAUUCUUAUGUAGCGCGUCAUCAAUUACAAUGUACAGUACUUUCACCUUCUCCUACAAGGACAUUUUCCUCAUUUGAAACAUGAUAAUAGUAUGAUUCAGGUUCCACAACAGUUUAAGUAUUCUUAUCGCUGACAUCGUUGUCCAAAAUUCGUCUAAUCAAUUCUAACCCAACAACAAUGAAGGUGCACUAAGCAUUUGAUAAAAAGAAUUGAAGAACCCAAUAAUAAACAUGAAAAACUUAUUCUUUUUUAUAGAGGACUAGUGCUCUAGCGAAUUCACCCUCCCGUGAUAGAUCUUCUCCAAGAGCAACUUUGUGAUAAAACCGACCAAGAGAGUUACUGUGCAAACCUCAAACCCUUAUAGCACAUGAGUGCAGCAAAAAUCGGAUCUUAUGUAAAUUAAAAUAGAUGAGAAUAGAGAAAAUAGCACGAAGAUGAGCAAGAAAUAAAAAUCGAGAAUACAAGAAAUUUACAUUGUUCGAGUAACGGUGUAUCGGCUUAUGUCCACGGGCAUGAUCUCCUUAAUGCGUUGUUCGAUUACUCCAUGGCACAACAAAUACAAAGAGUAAUUUGGAUACAAAAAUCUCUCCCUAGAGCUCUUCCAUGUUUACCUCUUAAUUAGAGUCUUACAAUGAAGCUCAAAAAACCUAAACAUGAAUUAUAAGUUCAUAAAACCCUAAAAACCCAAUUCUAGUAGGAAACGAUCUCCUUUGUUAAUUGAAGUCUCCGAUUCACUUCUAGUGUCUAUCUCCGCUGAGAUAUCCUCCAAAAAUAUUUGUGGACCAUCCCUAAUCUCAAAGCAUGAAAUUAAAUCAAGUUGUAGUCAUAUUCGACUCUACAAACUCAUCUGAGCCGAGUUCCAAAACUCAUAGGGAUUCUAGAACACGAAACUUUGCAAUAUGUCGAAUUUGAAAAUUUGCUACUAAAUUCCAAAAUCUCAACCUCAGCUUAGAUUACAUACUCUUGGGUUUUGAAAUUCCUCAACCAAGUUUCAAAAUUUCUCAUUCAGUCCAAAUUUCAUAUUUUAGGGUUCUAUAUAUAAUUCCUCUACCAAGUUCUCGAAGUUGAACAUCUAGUAACUUAUUUUAUUUGGCUUUUCUUUGUGAUACUGACUCGAAACAUGGUUUCACUUUAAUCCAACACUCUGUACAUUGCCGUUGCUAUUGUGCUUGCCAAAGGUUAUCCCUUCUCCACCGACACCAUUGUAGACAAAGAACCACACCUCUCUAUCCUCACGAGGGGAUCAUGAUUGGCAACAAAGAUUUGGUAGGAGGAUCGAAAGGAGACGAGGAAUCAAAGAGAACUAUCUCUAUCUACGACAUCAAAGGUAGGGUUUUGCGGCAUAGGGAUCGAAAUAAGAGAAGAAGAUUGCUAUGGAGCGGGUUGGGGAGAGGGAGAGCUCACCAUAGGAGAGAGGAAGUGGAGAAAAGGAGAUCGAGGUAGAGGGGGGAAAGAUUGAGAUCAGAGAGAAUGAGGGUGGAGCAGUUGAGGGGGCGGGUGGUGCAGCAAUGAGGGGUGGGACAAAAUUUUUUGUGGGAUAGUCCUUAUGGUGAGACAAUUUAAUCCACCACCCAUCAUACUUCGAGAUUCGUGCUAGUUCACAUAAUGGAUGGUAGAUAGGACCAUCUCACAGUAGGUAUAGUCUCCAUAAAAUUUUGGUAAAAAUAUACUUAUCUAAACUAGCCAGCCUUUUAAAAUUUUAAUAUUUUUUACUAUCCAACUUUUUAAUUUGUUUAAUUUGAGUUAGUCAAUAGCACUUUUAGGCUGCGUUUUUAUUUCGAGUAUAAGUAAGAAUUGCUAGUUCUAGGGAAAGGUACAAGUUCAGAUAUAAACAGGAACUAGACCAAUUUUACGUUUGAAUGAAAAUGAGGUUGUUUCAAGGAAUAAGGUAAAUAGUGUUUGGAUGGUUAGAUUGGAACAAGAGAAUUAAGAGUUAUAAUUUGAAAUUAAAAUUAUAUUAUGCAAUUAAUUAACAUCAAAAUAUUACUUAAAAUAAAUAAUAAAUUAAUUAUUAAUAAUUAAUUAUGAAUAAUAAUAAUUAUUAAUAAUUAUUAAUAAUUAAUAAUAAUUAAUUAUAAAUAAUAAUAAUUAUUAAUAAUUAAUUAUAAAAUAAUAAAUUAAUAAUAUUGAAUAUCUAAUUAAUAAUAAUAAUUAAUAAUUAUUAAUAAAAAAUAAUAAUUAUUAAUAAUUAAUAAUAAAUUAAUAAUAGUAUCGAUUAUCUAAUUUUUAAUAAUAAUAAUUAUUAAUAUUUAUUAAUAAAUAAUAAUAAUAAUUAUUAAUUAAUUACUAGUAAUAAUAUAAUAAUAAUAAUUAUCUAAUUAUUAAUAAUUAAUUAUAAAACAAUAAAUUAAUAAUAAUAUAGAUUAUCUAAUUAUUAAGAAUAAUAAUUAUUAAUAUUUAUUAAUAAAUAAUAAUAAUUAUUAAUAAUUAAUAUAAAUAAUAAAUUAAUAAUACUAUCGAUUAUCUGAUUAUUAAGGAUAAUAAUUAUUAAUAAUUAUUAUUAUUUAUUAAUAAAUAUUAAUAAUUAUUAUUCUUAAUAAUUAGAUAAUCUAUAUUAUUAUUAAUNAAUAAUAAUAAUUAUUAAUAAUUAAUAUAAAUAAUAAAUUAAUAAUACUAUCGAUUAUCUGAUUAUUAAGGAUAAUAAUUAUUAAUAAAUACUAUUAAAAAUUAUUAAUUAUUAUUAAUUAAUUAUAAAUAAUAAAUUAUUUAAUUAUUAAAAUAAUAAAUAAUAAUUUAAAUAUAUUAAUUAGAUUAAUUAUUAAUUUACUGCCAUUAAAAUUAAAUUUAGAUUUUGAUUAAUCUUGUUCUCAUCAAGGAACAAGCUUGUUCCAGUAAAAGGGUGGAACAACAGCCUUAUACUAGCUUGUUCUUGAAAUCCUGGAAUUACUGUUCCUGGGUACCAAAUAUCACGUUUGGGAAAGGAGGGAACAAUAGCUUAUUCUCCUCCUUGUUUCCGAACUAAAUGCUACCUUAGGAAAAGGCACACCAAUCAUCCAAUAAUUCACUUACAAAAAUUGGCCGAGGGUUGAGGGAAAGACACACCAAUCAUCCAAUACAACUCGUCAGGAAGAAUAUUAUUUUCUAGGGUUACGAGAAUUAGGUGGUCAUAAGUUAUAGCAAUUUAGCAGGUAAUUGAAAGGUUAAUAGUUAUUAUUAUUAUUUUUUUUAAAAAAAAGAGAGAUAGAUAGCACGCUACCCGCUUCAUUUAUUUCAUAUUAAAAGGUUAAUAGUUAUGGAAAUGAAAAUACAUAAGUUAUGAGAUUUAGAAAUUGAAAAGGUACAGAUUAUAGAAGGACACCAUGAAUGUAUAGAAUAUGAAAAGAUGUGACACCAUGAAUGUACAGAAUAUGAAAAGAUGUAACUCCUUGAGACAAGUAGUGGUCAAUGACAAAAUAAUUUUAUUAACAAAAUGUUUCAACAGAUAUUAAUCCAGUUUGUUUUUGUUUCCGCUUCACAAAAGCUUCAUAUUGAAGAAGCAAGCUACUGACUUGCAGUUUUCUUUGUUUCACGGUAAUGAACUGCCGGUAAACAGGAUAGUAAAGUGAUAGUUAAUUUUGCAAACCACAUGGCAUAUUUUAUUAUUUUAUAAUAUGCAUUUUAUCACUCUAUGGUUUGAAAACAGUAUAACUUUUUUUCAACUCUUUUAAACCGUAGGUCUUUUAUAGUAAAAUGAAAAUAAAAUUGCAAGAUAUUUACAUGCAAUUUCUUGAAUUUACAGCAUGGUAAAAUGAAAAUGCGCUAGAUCACACCGAAGCAAAUUGAAGUUUGCCCUAAAAGAGGAAAAAUAAUUAUUUACAUUUUUUUUUUUUGGUUGUUGUUGUCAAAUAAGCACCUUAAAUGCAAGGAUUGCAAGCAAUCCACAUUCAUUCCUACACUAAUUCAUAUAGAAAUUUUAUUUAAUAAAACAAAAAACCGACAAUAAUGCCACAUGUACAAUGCCCUCCUGUUUUAUUAAUUUGUUUAUGUUUUUUCAACAAUUGGACGUCCUAUAAUCAUGUAAUUAGCCGAAUUAGUGUAUGAAGUUUGUAAAGAGUGACCCAGUAGUGGAUUAGUCUACGGCGCAAUGGCCAAUUAAAUUUGCUUCGUUUAUGGGAGUGAAAUGUGUAGUGAGUUCAGCGAAAAUACGUGUUCAAUGAAGUUUUUUCUUUGCUAACAAUUUUUCUCUUUUGUUUAAGGAGUGGUUUGUAGCAAUACUACUUAGCAAGUUUCGAAUUAAACAUUUUCUCUGUCUCUUUGUGGUAGCUAGCAGGUAUUAAUGACUACUGAGGCAGUAAGGCAUCAUCUACUAAACUUGUAGAGAAGUUAAGAAUUUCAGCAGUCAGCACUAACUAAUUUAUUUGUUUCAGAAAUAAGUGAUAAAAUUAAACUCGAUCUUAACUACUGGCACUUGGAUAUCAAUCUAGUUUGUUUCUAUCUCAAUAUCAGGCACUCAUUGAUCAGGAAUCGAAAUAUUUCCCGAGUCUUGAAGGAGAAGAAGAAGAAGAAGAAGAAGAAGAAGAUGAUGAUGAAACUCUGUUCUGGCGGGAAUGGGAGCGGAUGGACAAUGAGUUGCUCGACAAAUUGAGGCGGGGGGACGAGACAUUAUUCCCACCUGAAACAGAUGCGGAUCACCGGGUCAUUGAGGUUCGUGGUAAUGGUAAUGUCGGUAAUCAAGCAGGGCGCAGGGGUUGCCGAGGAGUUACCGUCGGCGGAAACUCGGCCCUCCAUAUCGUGGCUACUUUCGGGCACUUGGAGCUCGCGAAGCGGAUCUGCGACAUAGAUUGCUCCCUCCUGGAGGCACGCAAUGCGGCGCUCGAGACGCCGCUGCACUGUGCUGCGAGGGCCGGGGCAGACCAAAUUGUGUUCCUCUUUAUUUCAAAGGUCCGCCAGGGUGAGGAGGCGGUACUCCGCGUCACAGAUCGGAAAGGGAAGACAGCAUUAUAUGCGGCGGCUGAAGAAGGUCAUGACGAGGUGGUGAGAAUUUUGUUGUCUAAGGAUCCUGAGCUGGCGGGUAUCGUCGACUAUAAUGGUGUAUCUCCACUCUAUGCUGCCGUGCUGUCGAAAUCGCUCAAAGUUGUUCAGAAGUUGGUAGAAGUCCUUGGUGACAGAGGGGACGCGCCAGAGGCAUCCUAUGCCGGACCGAAAGGCCAAACUGCACUGCAUGCAGCCGCCAUCGUCCAAAGCCCAGGUAGUUAACUUACCUGCCUAUCAGCUUCCGCAUGCCCUAUUUUAUCUACUGCCUUUUUUUUUUUUUUUUUUUUUUUCUUUUUUUUUUUUUGCGUUUAGCUCUCUCAAUUUUUCUUUUUCUUUUUACAAAUAAUUCUAGUAAAUUUAUAUUUGUACGCAUAACUCUCUCUUUACCAUGCAAGCACCAUUUUGGUAAUUUUAAAUUGAACACGCUGAUUGAACCACCGUGUUUAAAUACGAUGAUUUAAUCAUCGUGUUCAUAUUUAUAUUUUAAUCUUUUAUUUUUAAGUUAAGGGCUAUAAAAAUACAAAAAAGAAUAUAAUAAUCCAAUCUCCGUGUUUAAAUAUGGUGAUUGAAUCGGGGUGUUCAACUUAAAUAACGCCACCGAGACGCUUAUGUUGAAAGUAAAGGGCUACUUAUACAAAUAUAAAUUUGUUAGAAUCAAUUUAUAAAUUCUUUUGUGAAAAAGCUAAAUGCAAAAAAAAUCCUUAUAUGUAGAUAUUAUUUUAAUUUUUUUUCCUUUAUGUUCUAGAGAUAUGCCAAGUCUAUGAUCUAAAAGAGCUCUAGAAUUACAAUUUGAGCAAUUAAUACUAUCCAUACCUCUCAAAUAGUGUGUAUUUCAUAAAUUCCAUCUAUCUAAUCGGUGAGAUUUCUUCAUUUGUAAUAUGAUGUGACUAAUAAAAAAAUCUCACUUAUUGAAUGAGUAGGUGUAUAUCCUACAUUCUAAAAUGUAAUGUAUAAAUAGCUUUUCUCAUGCAAUUAAAAAGAUAGACUUUUAUUUACCCACAUGUGGUUUAGAUCAUUUUCACUUUGUUAUUCUAUAAUUUAAAAAAAAUAAAAUUAACUAGUUUGUGGUUUUAUCUCCAUUUUUAUCGAUCUUAAAAGUUUAUUAUUAAAUAAGUAAUAAUCACGGAGUAGUUAAGUAUAACUUUUGAACCACACGGUAGCAAAGUAAAAAAAUGAGCUAAACCACAUGAUAAUUAAGUAUAAUUUUUUAAAUUAUAAAAUGGCAAAAUAAAAAUAAACUAAACUAUAAAAGAAAAAAUAAAAUUUAUCUUAAAAAAAUAACCGGGCUAGUAAAAUAACCUAGACCACUGAAUGAUAGAAUUGUAACGUUACAAUCAACUUUAGGCUGUCGGGCUCCCAUUGCUCUAUUUUUAAUUCAUUCUUUUAUUUAUUUCCCUUCCAUACUAUCCAAACCAACCGAUCAAUGACCACACUUUUACCACUGUCAAUUAUCAUACUUAAGGUUAGUAACAAAUUUUAAUUUUUGGAAAAAAAAAUUGAUUUUUUGUUAUUUUAUGACUGUUUAUAAAUUUUUAUUUUUUUAAUUGAAGUAUCAGUUUAAAGAGAAUCAUUUGAUCUGUCACAUUUUUAAAUUUUAUUUAUAUAAAGCAAUAAAAAAUAAAAAAAUAAAAAAUAAAAAAAUAAACAAAAAUUAAGGGGCUGGCCUGGAGCACUGCCCGGGCCCCUGACACGGUUAGGCCUGGCUCGGAUGAGCCGGUACCCUGCUGUUUCGGCCUAAGGUGUUGUGGGCUGUGCCCUCUUCAUGAUAUUGAGAGGUUUUUCUCUUUUUUUUUUUUUUUGCAUUUUAAUGUUAAAAGAAAUUAAGAUUAUAAUUCACUAGGCAGUUUUGAGUGGCCAAUGUAUUAUAGAUAUAUAGCGAGAAACAUCUUGUGAGGAUAACUCUCCUGAUCUUUUGUUUAUUUAUUUAUAAUUAACUUUUUUAGUUUUUUCUUGUUUUGCUCACCUAUUAUUUAUAUGAACUUCAAUGACAGAAAUUGCAGAGAGACUACUACAGUGGAAAUCAGAACUUGUAAAGAAAGUCGAUAAUUCAGGAAGCACUCCCCUUCACUAUUUAGCGACAGCUACAAACACUUAUAUGGUGCGUCAACUAUUGAAAGAUGGCCGUUCUACUGCUUACUACUCAGAUUGUGAAGGGUUUUAUCCGAUACAUAUUGCUGCUAGUAUGGGGAGUUGCCGCAUAAUUCAUGAGCUUAUUGCCUGUUGUCAUGAUAUGGAUGAGUUAGUAGAUAACAAAGGAAGGAAUUUUCUACAUAUUGCUGUACAAGAGAACAAACUGAUGGUCGUUAAGUAUGUUUGUCAGAAUCGAGAGCUUGCAAAAAUGAUGAAUGCACAGGAUAAUCAUGGGAACACGCCGCUGCAUCUUGCUGUAUCUUCUCAGAACCGAGAAAUAGUGAGACUUCUAUUGGAAAAUAAAAGUGUACAUCCAAGUAUCCAGAAUAAGAAACGACGAACCCCUCUAGAUCUUGCCAUCACCAAGAUCGACUAUAGCUUAAUCUCACUACAGGUAAACGAAAUUCCUCCUUUAACAUUCUUUGUCAGAAUUGAAAAAUAUUUACCUGAAAUUCAGAAUGCAAAUGAAUAAAAAUAUUGGAUAUAUACAUUCACUCACAUAUAAAGAAAUAUAGAAUAGUAAUGUACAUAUACAACAUAUCUACGUGCAUAUAUUGAUUUCAGCAUACAUCUACUAUAGAUUAAAUAGGUUAGAAUAGGAUUUCUUCUUUUGCCGUUCCAAUUCACUAGUAAUCCACAAAUCAUAUCGUAAUUCACAAUUCCACAUUCCGAAGGUGGUCAAAGAAUUAGGUAGCUAUUGAUGAGAGGAUAAAAAGAGAGAGGAAGAGAGAAAAGUAGCGCAAUCGAUCAGUACUUGCUAAUUGGUCCUUCUAUAAUGAGCUUUUCUUCUUUGACUUCCAGAACCCGCACAUCUGGAUUUUUCACUGCUUACAACAGAUUGGUGCCAUCUACGGCCCUCAACGACUGGACCGCUUAAUAUAUGACUCCAGACGCAAAGACAUCGACAUCGCCAGACAAAAUCUUGACAAUGAACAAAAGAAGUACGGGAGUACAGCUAAAAAUCUAGUAAUUGUCUCAGUACUUAUCGCUACCGUGACAUUCGCUGCAGCUUUCACCAUGCCUGGGGGUAACAUUGCUGACGACCACCAAAAUGGAGGCACGCCAACUCUAGCAAGAAAAUAUGCUUUCACGGCUUUCAUCAUCUCAGAUUUCAUUGCAUUUCUUUGUUCCCUCAUGGCUACGAUUUGGCUUAUGUAUGCUGGCUCACUUGCCAUACAUCAUUCUCGCCGGUUAGAACUCAUUCUGCGAUCCCAAUACUUCAUUAGCAUAGCGGCACAAAGUAUGGUAGCAGCAUUCGCAUUGUCCGUGUAUGUGGUGCUGGCCCCAGUUAACAGUCUCAUUGUCCUUGUUGUCUUCAUAUUUGCGUUCCCGUCAGUCUUGUUAUGCAGUCCAGAUAUUUGGCAGCGAUUUCGUCUCACAAUGACAAUACAGAGAAGACUAGGAUGGUCAACAAUAUUGUGCAAACCCUGCGUAAUAGGGCGACCAUUCGGGCUCGGUACGGAGAGUUUUAACUGGUUUAUCUUUGGGCCGAUAGUGUAUUAUUUGCUAGUUUAUAUACUCAUCUUUGGGGUAUCACUGAUUCUUUCCAUCAAACAUUUGCAUUUUACCUAAAAGUGGGUGCGAAUUAAAUCUUUCAUUGUCAUCAUCCAAGGGCCAACUUUUUUACACUAGUCUUUGUUAGAUGUAUGCCCUAGAAGCCAACCAGGCCGAUACAUGUAUUCUUUCUAGGACAUAAUUUUGUAUUUGGUUUUAAAAUAUUAUGAAUAACUUUGGGUUUUUAUUUCUAUUUAUGUUGUGUAUGUGUCCAUGAAUCGUCCAAGGAAUUAAUAAGAUGAUGACAUAUAUUCUCAAGUGUUGAGAAUUUGAGACAUGUGUCAUUGGUGAUUAAUUCCUAAAUGCUCCCGAUCAAUGGAUCAUCACGGGGACGGUGAUUGAUCCGGUGAGAUUGGUGCAUAGGUCGCUUCCCUUUCUGGAUAGACGAGUCUCGAGUCGACAGUGUGGGGACACUGAAGCGAAUAUGCAGGUGGUUGUUAGAGAACAAGGGUACCGAGCGUGACCAACGCGAGAAGUCACUUGGAUGUCUACUCACUCGUCAGUGACUUACUCAAUUGUUGCAGUAGUGUGACUGGUCCUUUGACCUGCGGUGCCUCGGCUAUUCACAAUGAGGUUACUGUAGUUUGACUGUACAUACACUUGGUCCCUAGCCAUUCGGGUCCUUGCGGUGCAUGUUGGCUGCAGUAGGUUCAUUGUAGGAAUAGGGUGCGCACUUAGAUGGAAUCUAUCUCCCUUGGUAGAUAGGGGUGUUAGUCCUAUGUGAUUUAUGAGACCGAGUUUAGAAGACCUUGGCCAGGGCAGAAUAAAUAGCGGAAAAGGGUUUCCGAUAUUAGAAACUCGAGUCGAAUAAAUUUAACAUAUGACAGACGAUGGGGUUUGACGAGUUAUUCCAUAACCUCCGUCUAGUCGGGACUCAUGAUAGAAGGAUUGUAUCACACGGUAACUGCACCAAGAGGUUCAGUAUUCCAUUCUACUGGAAUGCCACUACAUGCUGCUAGGCGUCACUGGUGGAUUGUGAGACUCAUGAGAAUUAUCUAGAUGAUCGAUAAUUCUCAUUGGGCUGAGUUGGAAUUGUUCUAAUCCAUUGAAAGGAGUUUCAGUGAUAUUGUUGAUAGUGAUCAAAAUAUAUCUCACUACCAGAUAGAAUAGAACCUAUGGGGUCACACACAUAAGAGGUUGUGAUUGAUCGGAUAGCUAGAUCACGAUUAUUGAAUCGCCGGAGGACCUAAUUAUCAAUUUAAUGAUAACUAGACUAAUUUGUAAUUGUUACAAAUUAGUGGUAUUAAGGUGUAAAUGUUACAAGAGAGGACUUACUAAUAGUUAGUAAAUUAUAAGAGGACUUAUGUGCAAGUGUUGUAUUAUUAAUUUGAUAAGAUCAAAUUAAUAUAAAAUUCAAAUCGAAUCAAAUUAGGAUUUGAUCGAUGUAACCAAUUAAGGAAAAGAUAAAUUUAAAUCUAGAUUUAUACUUAUCCUUAAUUGUCAUUAUAUUAUUAGGAAUAGGAUUAUAUUCCUAUAUAUAAUAUACGGGAGUUUUUAGAAAACCCUAGCCCGUCAUAUCUCUUCUCCUCUCUUCCAUCUUCUAGCAAAUAGACGUCCUUUUGCAAGGGAGCUAGCACCCCGGUGAGGACAUCGAUCAAAUCAAGAACCUCGUGUGGAUACCUAUAGAGGCCGGACGCGUGUGCGGCUUCAAGAGAACCCGAUUCCACGAUCAUCAAAUUGAGGCAAGGAUUUAUCCGCGAAAAAGGUAAAGAUUCGAUCUUACUUUCUCCUUUAAUCUUAAAGAACAUGAGGGAUCCUAAUUGCGUGGUUUUGAGAUUAGAUCUCGAGAGUUUUUCAAAAUCAAAUCUGUUUGAUUUCUUUUUCCGCUGCGUUUUACCGUACGCAAUUUUCUAACAGUCUUAUCACUCUUUCUCUUCUUAAUAAAUAAAAAAUUCAGAAAGGAUUGUCUAAACCCUUGGAU